rnacentral:lncRNA from 1 species
AUGCAUAAAUCUAUUUUCAAUUAUUUACAUAUAUCCCAACUUAUAAGUAUACUUCUCUUAAAGUUGAACACUUUUAACAUAUACAACUUCUUCAUGUUUGCUAUAACAUAUAUUUUUGUCCAUGAAUUUGAAUUUAGAUUUUUUUUUUUUNNNNNNNNNNNNNNNNNNNNNNNNNNNNNNNNNNNNNNNNNNNNNNNNNNNNNNNNNNNNNNNNNNNNNNNNNNNNNNNNNNNNNNNNNNNNNNNNNNNNNNNNNNNNNNNNNNNNNNNNNNNNNNNNNNNNNNNNNNNNNNNNNNNNNNNNNNNNNNNNNNNNNNNNNNNNNNNNNNNNNNNNNNNNNNNNNNNNNNNNNNNNNNNNNNNNNNNNNNNNNNNNNNNNNNNNNNNNNNNNNNNNNNNNNNNNNNNNNNNNNNNNNNNNNNNNNNNNNNNNNNNNNNNNNNNNNNNNNNNNNNNNNNNNNNNNNNNNNNNNNNNNNNNNNNNNNNNNNNNNNNNNNNNNNNNNNNNNNNNNNNNNNNNNNNNNNNNNNNNNNNNNNNNNNNNNNNNNNNNNNNNNNNNNAAAGAUUACAAUAGAUUUCUGAAGUGACUCAACAUAGUUUUUUUUUUUUACCAAAGGAAACAUUUAUCUAGGAGCCCACACCUGCAAACACCAUUUGGAUUCCUUUGUCAUUUGCAUCAUUACUAAAAUGGUCAUGUAGUUGUAUAGAGACCAUCUUUAAUGAUAACAUCUUAUGCAAGAUAUUUUUCAAUGUAAUUUGAGCCUCUAAGAUCCUCCCAUUAAGGGUGGCCUAAGAUACUCCUAAUUAAGAUAUUACCAUUAAGGAUGCUCUGAUAAACAUGUUUUAUGGUAUUUUUCUCUUAAAGUUUUUUUAUUUUAUUUAUUAUUUUGUGCAAAGAUAUUUUAAUUCAAUUAGAUCCUCAAAAGAGGUAGGUUCAUACAAAUUGAAACAGAGAGAUUACAUGAAACAUAAAGAUAGAGGUUUAAUGAGUUUUCCAAAGUGCAGAGCUUCAAGAAGUUUGCAAAGGCUAAAAUAUCUUUUGAAACCUGUAGGGACUCAUGCUUGAAGAUGAGCUUCGAGAAUUCCCGGAUCAGCUUUGUGAUCAUAAACAGCUCGUGCGAUCAACGCAUAAGAGCUUUUGAUGAAUUGCUCCAUGGAGGAGACUAUAAGUGGAGUCUGGUUCUCAAUGAGUAGGUUAGCUGCAAUGGUAUCUCCUUAGAGGAGGAGUAGUCUAGCGUCAUUGUCCAUGUUUUGGCCUUGCGUUUUUCUUUGGCGAAUCCACUAAUCUUAGUCCUCUAAGGAGAUACCAUGUCACAAAUCCUACUCCUCUUAAAGUUUAUUUUUAAUUUGGUUUUUUAUCUAUUAAUAAGAGUAAUUUAAACAUAAGUGAUCCAUUUAGUAGUAAUAAAAGUAUAUAUGGACCAAACUUGAAAAAAAAAAAAAAGAUGACCGACAUCAUCAAAUUUUUCAUACAGCUAAAAACCAACCAUGCAAGCCUUAGACACACAAUUAUGCACGUUCCCUUGUAAACAAUACAGCUAUAUAUGAAUAAGACGUUACACUUACAAAGAUUAUCUUGGAGUGACUCAAUAUAACAUUUGGAUUCCUUGGUCUGGUCAUUGACAUGGCUGAUAAACCCAGUUUAUUAUGUGGUAAAAGGUUUCUUUCUUUGGUCAAUUUAAUAAUUUAUAGAACAUAUUAUUUUUUCGUAUACAUCCAGAUUAAAGAUUGUAACAAUUUAAAAUUUGGUAUGUAAGUGGAUUAGAUAAAUCAUUUAUUAAAAGUUAAAUGGAGAAAAUUAGGAUAAAUAACAGUGAGAGAAAAAAAAGGAAAAUAAAUAUUUCAUAAAAAUCGAUUCUACACUUGAUUUAAAUAUUGUUAAAAGCACUUAAUAGUCCUAGUAUGAAAAAUGCUAUUUUUAAAAAAAAUGAACAUUUAAAUUAUCACACAUGAUACAUCUCCGUAAAAUAAAAUAAACUGUAAUUCCAAAAUCUACAUACAUUAAUCUUCAUUUAGUAAACUAAACAUAAAAAAAUAACAACUUAUUAGAAAAAUCACGUAUAAUUAUAAACAUUAAAUAUACAUGAUAAAUCCGAAUUAACCCUCUUGACUAAAUUGGUGGCUAAACAAAUUGGUUCUAUGUAAAUUGGUAAACAAUAACUAGAUUACACAUCAAUAUAUAUAUAUAUAUAUAUAUAUAUAUAUAUUAGAGAAGAAAUAAGUGUUACUUUACUUAAUUUUANNNNNNNNNNNNNNNNNNNNNNNNNNNNNNNNNNNNNNNNNNNNNNNNNNNNNNNNNNNNNNNNNNNNNNNNNNNNNNNNNNNNNNNNNNNNNNNNNNNNNNNNNNNNNNNNNNNNNNNNNNNNNNNNNNNNNNNNNNNNNNNNNNNNNNNNNNNNNNNNNAGAAAUUGAUACCAAUAACCUUUUUAUAAUACCCUCUUUUUAAAAUACCUCUUUUUUACCAUUUUCAUUUUUGCCCUCUCUUAAAUUUUAAUGGUCAUUUUACCCCUAUUUGAAAGAAUAUCCUUUCCCAAAGGAAGGCAUAUUCCUUCCAAAAAAUUUCCGCCAAAAACUUUCCCGCCAAAAAAAAAUCGGAGAAAAGUUUUCCCGCCAAAAAAUAUUCCGCAAAAAUUUUCCCGCAAAAAAAUUUUCCGAAAAAAAUUUUCCCGCCAAAUUUUUUAAAGGGUUUAUAAGAUUUUUUUAAGGAUCUUUUAAAGGGUUACAAGGGUUUUUAAAGGGAUUUACAAGAGUUUUUAAAUGGUUUUUAAACGAUUUGUAAUGGUUUUUAAAGGGUUUUAGAAGCCUACAAAGGUUUUUAAAUGGUUUUAAAUGAUUUACAAUGGUUUUUAAAAGUUUUGAAAAGUUUAUAACAGUUUUAAAAGGAUUUACAAGGAUUUUUAAAGGUUUCUAAAAAGGAUUUACAAGUGUUUUUAAAAGGAUUUACAAGUGUAUUUAAAGGCAUACAAUGAUUUAAAAAUAGUUUUAAAGGAUUUACAAGGGGUUUUAAAGGGUUUUAGAAAUUUACAAAGGUUUUUAAAGGGUUUACAAAAGUUUUUAAAUGUAUUACAAGUUCUUUGAAAUGGUUCAUAAGGAUUUACAAGGGGUUUUAAAGGAUUUUAGAAGUUUAUAAAAGUUUUUAUUUAAUGAUUUAUCACGGUUAUAAGGGGUUUAAAGGGAUUUACAAGUGUUUAUAAAUAUUAUAAAAUGAUUAACAAUGAUUUCAAAAGGUUAACUCAAGUUUUGAAAGAUUUUGGAUGACUUUUAAAAGAUUUACAAGGUUUUUAAAGAAUUUUUUAAGGGAUUUAAAAUUAUUUACUAGGUUUUUUAAAAGAUUUUUUAAGGAAUUGCGGAAAAAUUUUGGCUGAAAAUUUUUGGCGGAAAAAAUUUUGUCGGAAUUUUUUUGGCGGGAAAUUUUUCGGAAGGAAUAUUCUUUUUGUUGGAAGGAAUAUUAUUUUUGUUGGAAAGAAUAUUCUUUUUAUUGGAAGAAUAUUCAUUUCUUCAUCAUGGGUUAUAAUAAAGGAGAGUAAUUUAGUCUUUUUGUACAUUGAAGAGGGUAUUUUUGAAAAUGGAUACCUAGAGAGGGUUAUUGUAGAAAAAUGUAUCAUAAAAAUGUUAGUUGUGCAAAUCCCCCUACAAGUUUUGCGCAUAUAUUUAUAUUAAAGUUAUUUUAAUUAUAUAUAGUUUAUUUGUUUUUAGGAAAGUUGUGUUACAAUAGGUGCAGUCUGAAAGGCUUUGAAGAGUUUUGUAAUAUAUAGUAUUUAGGCAAAAAUAUAUUAUGUAUUUUGGAGAUACUAUGUAAGACAUUUAUGUUUCUCUGAACAUAUGAUAUUUGAUUAUUUUUUUAAAUGGUUAAUUGUCUGAUUUCUUGUUUAUGUUAAUUCCAGUUACAUAUACAUUUCAAAUCAAUUUGGCUGAAUAACAGACGCUAACUCCAUAUAUAAACCACUUUAAUCCCAGUGUACUAUCAAACUAUUUUAAAACUUAUGUAUGUUAUUUAAUUCAUUUAUUUUGAGUUGCAGGCACACCGUUUUCUAAUUUAGAAUGCAUAAAUUAUUUGGAUUAAAAAACUGUUCAAGUGUUUUUUUUUUGUAGAAUUUUUAUUUAUAUUAUUAGUUAUAUUAUUUUUAAUUAUUUUCAUAUUAUUUAUUUACCGGCCCCAUUGCACAUAUUAUAGAGGGUCUUAAUUUUUUUAAUAUAAAUAAAUGAAAAAUGAGGAAAAAUACAAAUUAUGAGCAUCUCCAUCACACAUACUAGAGAAUGUCUACAAUUUAUAAUAUAAAAAGAAAUAUUAAUAUUGUAACAAAAAUGUUUUAGAAAAUGUGAGACACUGGGUUUAAAAUAUCUUAGUAAAGAAAUUUUGAUUGAGCUUGUUGUUAUUUUAAAGGCACCCAUAAUAUAAUAUUAAAUAGGAUUUAUCCCGUUGUACACCAUGUGUCCAUAAUUUAUAUAGUUGUAUGGUUGGUCAUUUUGAUAGUUGGUUUAUAUAGUCUAGUUUUUAUACAUGUUUAUUUCAUUUUCAUUUUAUAUAAUUUAUAAAUUUGUAUUAUAAUUAGAUGCAUAGAUAUAUGUGAUCAACCGUCCACCCACGGUACAUCGUGGAACGAUUUUGUUGUAAAAAAAUUAUAUUUUAACUUAAACCGCUAAAUAUUUUAAAUAUAGAAGACCCGUAGAAAAUAUAAUCAUAUUUAUGUAAACUCAAACCCAUUAAACCAUAUUUCUGUACAAUAUUAUUAUAUUUUUAAUUUUGUUAGAGUUAAGUUAUUAAUAAUUUAAUUUUUUGUAGAGUUUAAAUAUUUUAAAUAUUUUAAUAUUAUAUAAAGAUUAAAUAUUAUAAUAUUUGAUGUUCUUAAAAGUUUUAAUAUUUAUAAAAUUUUGAAACUUUUUUAAAGUUUUAAUUUUCUUAAAUAAAGAACCGGAUUAAACCAAAUAAAAUAAUAAUUUGGAUGCCUGAGAAAUCAAACUUCAUGAUCAUUUGUAGUUGGGAGCAUAUUAGUCCUAUUUAUAAUGAUUUUGAACUAUUAUUAAAAAAAAUUCUACUUUGUACAUACUUUUUUCCCUUUAUCGAUUGACUAAUAUACGUCCAUUUUCAAAAUUUUAAAUUGUAAAAUAUGCGAAACAUAAUUUGCAUUGUUAUUAUACAUAAAUUUUAUGUAAUAAUAUAAAUUAAAAAACAAUAAGAUUAUACAAAUAUAUUGGAGAGGGAUUCAAUUUAUUAGAAAGAUAUUUUAGAAACUUUUUUGAUGUAACAAAUAUUGAUUUCCAAUUUUGCGAUUUGCUUGUGAUUGAAUUACAAAAUUGACUUUUAAGUUUUGUUAUUUAUUUAAAUGGCAAGAGUUUAAUUAUGUAAAUAUUACAAAAUAAAAGGUUAUAAGCCUAAAUAGAUUUUAGUACAAAAUGUACUUAAAAAAUGUAUAUAUAUAGAUAUAAUAUGAUUAAGUUUAGUUUGUGACACCCAAAAUAAUUGUACAAUGGGCUGGGAGUGGUAAAUAACAGGUAAAUCUAUUAUUUUUUAACGAUUGAAUAUGUAUAUUUUCCAAAUCUAAACGGUUAAAUUUCUUAAUAUCGUAGAAUAAUGUAAUAUUUCUAUUUAAUUUAUAAUUAUAAUAUAUUAUCGAGUUGAUAAUAAUUAAUAAAUGAUAGUUUCAUAUUUACUAAGAAGAAUAUAAUCUCUACGAUGGCUGUGUUUUCAAAUUUAUUAAGAAAAUCUAAUUGAUAUCAUAUUUGUUUCUAAUUUUGUACAAAUUUUGAUACCACUUCAAGUAUAAAAAUAAAAUUAGAUUAAUAAAUAGUUUAUUGCAUUAUUUUAUAUACUUGAAAUUCAUGUAUUUAAAUGAGUACUAAUCUAGUAUUAUUAUAAAUUAUAUUACUAUCAUUUAAUUUUGCUAAUGCAAACAUGAUUAAACAUGUUUAAAUCAUGUAUGGUGUCAAUCAUUAUAUUGUUUUUGCAAACUAUACUAACGUCACUUGGUAGAUAUUCAUAUCGGUCUAACCAGUCAUACUGUGUUAUCGAACAAAAAAUAGAGUUGAUUUUUUUUUUUAAAUGACAACAUAAAGCUAAUUAAGCCAAUAACUAGGCUCGUGAGUACACCUUACAUUAUAUACUUGUGUUUUAGUUUUCCUUUCAAAUCUCGAUUAAUUUCUUGUAUAUGUAUACUUGUCCUCCAAUGACUCACUAAGAGCACCGAAUAGCGGACCUAGGAUGAAUUUUUACCUAUGUCAAACAUAAGUUUAAAAAAUAAAAUUGACGAGGCAAAUUGGUCCCAACUUCGCCGCACUGGACUGCAAGUGAAUUGGCGCAAAGUAAUCUGGUUUUCAAUACCAAAACAUUCUUUCGUGGUUUGGCUAGCUGCUCGGAAUAGACUCACAACGGAAGAACGUAGAACGUAUGUUGUCCUGGAACAGAUGAAUGAAUCCUGCAUAUGUCUUUUGUCGGGCACCUCUGGAAACGUUGCCUAAUCUUUUUUUCCGUCUGCCCCUACUCUUCUUAGGUUUGGCAGGCUUUAUCUCGAAAGCUUAUGCCACACCAUUUUUCUCAGCUUUUGGUUCUUCUUUGGGGUCAAACUUUUCAAGGCACCAGCUGCUUCAUUUUGUGUCUUGCUUUCCAGGUUGUAGUUCACACGCUCUAUAUAGAAUGUAAUCGGCACAAACAUGGGGCAUGCCAAACACCACAGACCGGUAAUCCUUUUUUUUGGACCAUAUGGUUCGUAACAAGCUUCUUUCAAUGUAGGACCAUUCGACAAAGUUUGGUGAUGGACUCCAACUUUGGCUGGCUACUCCCACAGUCGCACCUAAACUAUUCUCUUUCACUUUGCUUCGAAUUCUUUUACACGUUUCUAAGUUUUAUUCAAAUCUUUCGAUGAAAGGAUGCUUUCAUGUAAAAAAGAACUUUUUUUUGUUUGAAUAUAUUUUCACAUUCAUUUAUAAAAAAAAAAAAAAUUACUCAUGUCAACUGACCUCCUCUUCUUGCAUGUAAGUCUGCCAGAGAGCACUUACAAAAGGGUGCUUAAAUGAUGUUAUAGGAAGUUGCUUAGUCAUAAACUAUUCUCUACAACUAAGAUUAUAUAAGGAUUGAUGCUUAUUUAGGGUGUUUAAAAUCAGCUAACGAUCUUCUUUAUUUACCAUAUCCUUACUUGCACCUCUCUCACUCUCAUUCUCUAACAAGUCAGGUCUCAUAAAUAUGUGUGUGUACGUAAGAUUGGUUUUAUCAUAUGAAAAGUUGCAAGAUUGGUUUAGUUGGAUCAAAAAAAUCAUAUGUACCGAUCAGUAUGAGGAGAUCAAAUUAGUUUGUGUGCGAUUUUUGAACUAUUUUUUUUUGAAAUAUUAUAAUUUUUAAAUUAGUUUUUAAGCACCCCAAAUAAAAUGUUACCAUUGGAUAGCCAUAAUUUUAAAAACUAAUCAACAGAUUCUUAACCUAGAAGUUUUCAAAAUUAAUAAUAAAAAUUAAAAUUUGGUAAACAGUAAACACCUUUCACACCAUUGGAGUUGGUCUAAGUAGAGUUAAUGCGAUUAUACUCUAUCUCUAAAAUACAUUUGAAUAUCAACUAAUUAAGCUGUAUGUUAUACUACAUAGGGAUAACAUGUUAGAUUAAGAUCAUAUUUAGCUAAUUUUUUGACAUUUUCCCCCAUUUAUCAGUCGUCGCAAUAUAACAUUAGAUAUCCUCUUUUUAUUUAUUAAUUUAUUCUUUUGUGAUUUCCCAAAACAAAAGAAGAUAAAGCUAGCUUUACUCUAAAGCUUUUAUCUCUUCCUUAAACUUGACCAUUGCAACUCUUGGCAAUGUAACCACAAUCUGAACCCCUCCGACCAUAUCUGGUUCCAACCUAGAUGGUCGCAUGAACAUAUUAACCAUCCUAGCUGUCUCGGAUGGGACGACCGGGACGACAUUAACCGGCUCAUCCCACCCAAAAUCCAUCGAUCCAAAGAUCCCUAUAUUCCGCCAAUCCGUCAAACAAAACAACCCAUCUUUUUUUCCCUUGAUCGUUAGAUUCAUCUUAAUAAUCUUUUCAGUGUUUACAAGCUCUUCUUGGAGAUAAUCUUUAUGUUGAGCCUUUCUCUUCGCUUCUUUUAUGAGCUUUACGAUAUCUGAAACCGUCGAUUCUUCCACUUCUCUUGUGGUUAGUGGCACAUACAUAUCAAUAUAUGCAUUGCCAUAGUAUCCGUCGGGCAAAGGUGGAUCCACGACGUUUCGAAUUCCUACACUUAAACCCAAAACAGUGACUCCAUCUCGAUCCAAAUCAAGAGCUUUAACUCUUGACUUCCAUAGAUAAGCACUUAUAACUUCAAAAGUUGUGAGUGGCUCACUAGAGAAGUCAUAUUCGUUCAAUGUAGCUUCUUUCAACCUUCUUAUGCUCUCCGCUUUAAUAUUUAUUUUCUCAGUUACCUGAUUACAGUUAUAAAUAUGGAAUCAAGAAAAUUAACUUUUAGACCAAAAAUAAACUAAAGGAUCUAGUAUUUUUCAUAAAACCUAAUUGUGGUAAAUAGUUUUAUCAAAAGUAUUAUUUUUAGCAACUUUACCAAUUUUUAUAUACACAUAGAAUUGAUUUCUUAUAUAUGCAAAAAUAUUGUCAUUCUGACGUCUUGAUUUUUUUUUGGUCAAUAUGUAAGCAAAGUAUAUUUCAUAAGUAUAUUAAGUAUGUUAGUGUUAACUGUUAAUUAAUGAGGCAUUUGAAAAAUACUUGUUGUUUAGUUUUUUUUACUUCUUCUAAACAUACCAAACAAAAAAUCAACUUUGUAAGAAUAUUUACGAACCAAAAUUUUGGUUUGAGAAAUUAAUAAUAAUAAUAAGUUGUAUAUUAUGAAGGGUUCAAUCUAAAAUUUUUAGCAAAAACCCUUUUUUUUUGUUAAUGUAUUUUUGCAUUUUAUAUUAUUUUAAUCUCACAAACCAAUUCCUAUUUAUUUGGUUUCAAGACGGCUCAAUACAUUACCCAAUCAUCGGUAGGUAAGUAGGGCGACGCAGCUGUGUCUCCCCGUGGAACUAAUGGACGUUGAUCAUCGACGACAGGCUCCCCCACAAGUCUUUCCCUUUCCCAAACUGGUGUCACUGUCAGCUUCUUUUUUCCACCAGCCAACUCUGUUAAGGCACACAUGAUAUGACCAAGUCCAUAUCCAUCGCACAUUGCAUGCGACGCCGCUAAACCUAAUAUGAAUCCUCCACAGCCAAAUUUGGUCACCUGUCAUUAAAUAAUUAUCUUUGUUAUUUGCUUAUUUGAAACAUCAAAGGGUUAGGUUAGGUAUGUAUGUACCUGCAAAGCAAAAGGUCGAUAACCAUCCUCCACUUGGAUCUCUGGCAAGAACUCUAAAGCCGUGUCUGAGUCAAUGUUGUCUAAAUACUUCAAUGAAGACAGUUCCACAUUUGUAGUAGCCACCGUGAAAGCCACACCUACUUCAUCUCCUCCAUAACUCAACUGAAGCUUCUGAUCACUCUCCCGCCGCUUCAAACUCCCUGCAAGUGGAUAGUAAUACACAAGAAGAUCGGACAAAGCCUCCCUAAGCAAAGACUCCGGCCGGUCAACAUCACCAUUAAAAGCUUUAUUUGCUCUGAAAACGUAACAGACCUUGUACAUGACCUCAUUGUCUGGAUCAUUGUCAAGUGUUGAAAGGGAAAGAGUUUGUGGAGGUAUGUGUUUUGAAGGUUUCACCAUUUCGGUGAGUUUUUUUACAGCCAUUAAAGGGAUCUGUGAGCUUACUUGGACUGGCAUGUCGUCUAAUGUCUUAACUCUUUAUCGCUUUGAAGACAUAUAAUAAGAGACUUGCCUUUUAUAGAGAAAGUUUUGGUAUUUAGCUUGAUUUUAGAAUAUAUUUUAGUUAUUAUAUAUUUCUAAACAUUGUUAAAAUAUGUGGAGAGUAAUAUUUGUUCUUUUAAUUCAAAAAUAUUAGGUUUGUUUUCUGUAUGUACUCUAUAGUUUUCUUUCUUUUCUCUAUUUAGCAAAGAUUUUUGUGUUGUUGACAAUAUAUAUUUUGCUCUAAUGUUGUUACAUUUAUGAUGAUUAAUCUAUCAGAUCUAGCUACAUGUAAUACAUGCAGCUCUCUCUACAACAUUCGAAUUCUCUAUUAACGAUUAUUAUACCUUUGCAUGUUUUACAUCCUAACUCUCAAAACCAUGACGAAAGAACAACUCUGCCUACGAUACUUUUUAUUUGUUUUGAUACUAAUGUUGGUAAAUUUGGGUAAGCCUUUAAUGAUUUCGACCUAAACAAGCAAUAAAAUAAGGCAUAUUGGAUUGAAUACCCAUUAAUUUUGUGGAAUUUUUACAAUCCCUUAGACACGAGAAUAUAACAUGAGACACGGGUUAUACAGAUUAAAAAACAUAUAUUUUUUUCUUUUUCCAUAAAAAUUCUAUUAAAUACAAUGAAUUCAACCAAUGAGAAAAUAUGAUGUAUGAUAUGAUUGAUCAAAAUUUAUUAAAUGCAUUAAAUAUUUGUAUAAAAAAAUGAAAACAUCACUUAAAUGAAAUAAUUUUUUAAGGCUAAAACAUCACUUAAAAUGAAACGAGAGAAUACACUCUUUUGCUGAAAUUGUAUUUAAUAUUUUUUUUGGUAGGAUAGAGGAGACAAAAAAAAACUUUCGCAUGUUAGUAAAAAAAAAUUUUUUACUAUAAAUCACAUUUGGACCUUUUGAAGGUGGCAAAUACCCCCUAACGUCUUCGAAUAGUCACAACAUCCAGCUUUAAAGACAAAGAUUGAAAACCUAGUGAUAGCGAGAAAGCAUAUCAACCGGAGAUUCUUAGAUACCCCAUUACGUACGUUACUAUCACAUGAAGCCUUGGCAAUGAAUACCAAUCAAUCAUGGAGAUUUCACAAUUUUCUAAGAUGACCUCACAGUUUUCACAAUUUUCUAAGAUUGAAAACCUAGUGAUAGCGAGAAAGCUUUAUAAUCGUGCACGUGGGAAUUAUCUAUACCACUUGGAAAUUAUUCAUCUCUCCAUGUUACAACGGAAGCGGAUCAAUAUAAACAACAAAUAAUCCUUACAGGUUUAAUGUGACUAAGUAACAAUAAGGGUGAAUGAUGUUGACGGUGUUUGGUGAUGCAAGCCUUUGAGUCAUGAAGGCUGGAUUGUUAGCACAAGGAUGCGGAUGAAUGGAGAGCGAUUCAGAGACUCAUAUUCUAUAAAGUACAUAAUGAGGUAAAUGUAUUCUUUUGAUGGAUGUUAUAGCUUAAUUAUAGUUAAGAAUGUGUUAAGCUUCAUGUUAGCAUUUUUAAGUGUGUUUUUGUGAAGUUGAUUUUUCUCCAGAAAUUUCGCCGGAAUGUUUUUUCAGGUGUGUUUUUAGUUUACGGGUUAGGGUGUCUCACUUAGACCCAAUGUUAGUAUAAUUAAUAAUCCAUGGCUUACAAUUAAUUAAGGACAUAUAUAUAUCCACUUAUUAUUAUUUGAUGUUUUCAACUAUAAUUUUUGUGGUGAUAAAUAUAUUAUAUGUUUAUUGUCUAGUUUUUUUUUCUCUGGGUUAAAGUAGAGACUUUACUACUUAAAUUAUGAUUUUUUUUUUUUGAACUUAUACUAUUUCGAGUUCCACCACAUAAAUGUAUUUAUUUACACUCAACUUAUAUUUAUCUUAAAGUUGAACACUUUUAACAUAUACUACUUCUUCAUGUUCGCUAUGACUAGAAGAAACAUUUUUCCAGAUGAUUCACCAUCACUAGAUAAGACUUUCAACACACAACAAUUCAGUUAUCAAAAUUAUUAAAACUAAAAAUAUAAUCUUAAUCAUAUAUUACAUGAUUAAGUAGAUGUGAAAAUUAAGUAUAGUACCACAGUACAAUAUAAACAUUCAAAAUUGAAUAUCAAUUCGUUCACUUACCGCAAGUGCAAGGACGAAUUUGAAAACACGUCCACAAGCUGAAACCGAACCGAACCGAAACUAAAAGAAAAUCGAAAAUCGAAAUUGAAUUGAAUAUUUGAACGCCCAUGACUAGAUUAACAAUAAAACACAACAAUUUCAGUUACUUAAAUUUAUUAAAAAAAAAAAAAACCAACAAUGUAUUACAUUGAGUAGAUGUUUGAACAAUAAAACUGAAUAUCAUUAAAUGUUGUGGUAAAAAUGUUUGGUCCGUUCCUCUGUAGUAUCUUAUCUACUAAUUUAAGUCCACGUAUGAAUAAAGCCAAACAAAUCCUAUAUGUAUAUGAUGACAUUUAUUUUUGUUUGCAUAUAUUUUUGUCCAUGAAUUUGAAUUUAGAUUUUUUUUUUUUUUUUUUUAAUGAAAGAUUACAAAGUUUAGACCAAAGGAAGCAUUUAAUCUACGAGCCCACCACCUGCAGAAAUCAUCUUUCAUACAGCUAAAAACUAACCAUGCAGACCUUCAAGAGACACACAAUGCAUGUUCCCUUGUAAUAAUAUUACAGCUAUCUGAGUAAGACAUCACACUACACUUACAAAAAACAGUCCACACUUGGUCGGUGUACCGGUUUUCCUAAAAUAAUUUUUCAUACAAUUCGAUUCUACACUCUUGAUUUAAAUAUUUUAAUAUGAAAUUAUUUUUCGGAUACAACAUUUUCAGGUUUUUUUAUAAAAAUUUCACAAUUUAUUUUCUAAAUUUAGACCGUUAAAUUUGUUAAUAUUAUAGGAUAAUCUAAUAUUUAUAUUUAAUUUAUAAUUGUAAUACAUUAUCAAAUUAAUAAUAGUUAAGUUUCAAAUGUACUAAGAUGGCUGUGUUUCAAAUUUGUUAAGAAAAUUCUAAUCGUUAUCUCAUUUUUUCUAUUUUGUACAAAUUUUAAUACUACUUAAAGUACUAAAAUAAAUUAAAAAUAGUAAAUAGUUAAAAUCAUUAGAUCAAAUGUAUAUAAAUUAUUUAUAUUAUUGCAUUAUUUUAUAUAUUUGAAAUCCACAUAUUUAUAUGAGUACUAAUCUAGUAUUAUUAUAAACCAUAUUACUAUCAUCAUAAUUUUGCUAAUGAAUGCAUGCUUAAAAAAAUUUAAAUCAUGUAUGAUGUCAAUCAUUACAUUGGUUUUGCAAACAAGACCAACGUCAUUUGGUAGAUAUGCAGAUGAUCAGAUCGAUCGGUCUAACCAGUUAUAUUGUAUUUUCGAACCAAAAACAGAGUUGAAUUUUUUAUAAACAUGACAACAUAAAAACUAAUUAAGCCGAUAACUAGGCUUGUAAGUACUUCUUCCGUUUUAUACUUUUUCUCUUUAUUUUUGUCACACAACGACCCAUUUAAGUAAGUACAUUGGCGUAUAUAUGAUAAGUCCCAAACAUUACAUUAUAACAUUAAAAUUCAAAUCAUUAAGUGUAAAUAAAAGAAAGAAUAAUGGGGGACGUUUCUAAAUCUUCGACGUUCUUUGCCAUGUUUCUUCAUUAUACGUGGGCUUCACUAACACUUGGCGACCUGCGAUUGGUUGUUUUUUUUUUUAAUCUAAAAAUAAAAUAAAAAAUUUUUUUAAAAAAAAUUUGGGACAAUUUCAUAUGGUCUUAAAUCCCCAUUUAUCCUUUGUCGUUUGCUUCAAUAAUUGCCGUGAUCAAAUCCCCAUUUAUCAUAUACUUAAAACGUCUCUUUCUUUGGUCAGUAAGACAUAUAUUCUUUUUUGGUAUACAUCUAAAGAUUUCAACAAUAUAAAUUUUGCUAUGUAUUUUUUGAAGUGAAUUAGAUUUAACUGGAAAAAUGGAGGAUUAGGAAGAGAGAAAUAAGAAAGCACUUGAUUAAUUCGAAUAUACACUUGAUUUAAAUGAUGCAAAACUCGAUUAUUUUUCGUAAUAAGUUUAGAUCAAAGGAAGCAUUUAUCUACGAGCCCACCAACUGCAUCAAUCAUUUUUCAUAUAUGUUUCAGUAGUAUUUUUGGAAAAAUAUAUAUUUUAUUAGUAUUUUUGAAAAAAAAAACUCAUAAUGGUUCUAUGUAAAUUUGUAAACAAUAACUAGAUUACACAUCAAUAAACAAAAGAACAAUUUGAAAAGAAAAUAAAUGGUUCUAGUGUAUUGGAUUUUAUAUUCUAAUUUAUAUGUUUUCACACACAGCUAACCCAACCAUACAAGCCUUCAAGAUACACUUCACUAUAUGAGGGACAUACAUUAGAUUUCUUGAUUCUACGGGGAUCAUUUCCCUCUUAAUUUUUUAUUUUUAAUUAAGAUUUUCUAGUUUUUGUAAACUAAAAACCGAUCGUCUUGUCUUCCAGAUUAUUUGAUUUGAAUGUUACUUUUAUAAAAAAAUAUUCAAUGUAUUAAAUUAUUGUCAUAUAUAAUCUUGUCUUUUUAAAAUUGGUCUAAUCAAAUACCCGACUUAUCAGAUGUAAACAUGUUCGACGAAAUCGUUUAGUGUGGUAAAAUUUCAAUCACAUGUUUUUCAGAUAUAUAUACACUAUGUUUACAUAAUGUUAUUAAUAUAUUAAAGUAGUCUAAUGGUAAAAAAGGUUUAUUUGUGUCAACAUUUUUCGAAUUCGAAACUUAUCUCCAACAUAAUAAUUUUUUAGGACGCGGACAUUAAAUUCUACACAAAAACCUUGUAAACAUAAUAAUAUAGAUUGCCACUUCUAUAUUUUUUUUGGUGUGAACAAAGGAAACGUUAUUUAGGAACCCACACCAUUUUGAUUCCUUUGUCGUUUGUUUCAAUAAUUGCCGUGAUCAAAUCCCCAUUUAUCAUAUGCUUCAAACGUCUCUUUCUUUGGUCAGUAAGACAUAUAUUCUUUUUUGGUAUACAUCCAAAGAUUGCAACAAUAUAAAAUUUGCUAUGUAUGUUUUGAAGUGAAUUAGAUUUAACUAGAAAAAAUGGAGGAUUAGGAAGAGAGAAAUAAGAAAGCACUUGAUUAAUUCGAAUAUACACUUGAUUUAAAUGAUUCAAAACUCGAUUAGUUUAGACCAAAGGAAGCAUUUAAUCUACGAGCCCACCACCUGCAGAAAUCAUUUUUCAUACAGCUAAAAACCUAACCAUGCAGACCGUCAAGACAUAAUGCACGCUCCCUUGUAAUAUUACAGCUAUCUGACUAAGACAAUACAUUACACUUCCAAAAAAACAGUCCACACUUGGUCGGUGUACCGGUUUUCCUAAAAUAAUUAUUCAUACAAUUCGAUUCUACACUCUUGAUUUAAAUAUUUUAAUAUGAAAAUUUCUUUUGGAUAGCACAUUUUCAUUUUUUUUCUAAAAAUAUCACAAUUUAUUUUCUAAAUUUAGACCGUUAAAUUUGUUAAUAUUAUAGGAUAAUCUAAUAUUUAUAUUUAAUUUAUAAUUGUAAUACAUUAUCAAACUAAUAAUAGCUAAGUUUCAAAUGUACUAAGAUGGAUGUGUUUCAAAUUUAUUAAGAAAAUUCUAAUCGUUAUCUCAUUUUUUUCUAUUUUAUACAAAUUUUAAUACCACUUAAAGUAUUAAAAUAAAUUAAAAAAUAGUAAAUAGUUUAAAUCAUGGGAAUUUCAAAAAUACCCCUUUUCUAAUACCACUUUUUAAAAAUACCACUCUUUCUAAUUUUAUCAAAAUGUCACUAUAAAAUUUGAAAUUUCUCAAAAACAUAUGUGUAAACUUAUAUUUAUAGACACAAAUUAUCUUUAUAUGUGUGUAAAUUUAUAUAUAUUUCAUAAAUACUGUAUAAAUACCUUUUAAAAAUCUUUUAAAAACCAUUUAAAACCCUUAUUAAAACUAUAUAAACCUUUUAAAAACCUUAUAAAAACCUUAUAAAUGCCGUUUAGAACCUUUUAAAACCUUAUAAAUAUUUGGAUUUAGUCUUCCAGUAGUAAUGAUGAUCUUGAUGUACCUUAUCAACCAUAUAAAAGUUUAUAAUAUUUCAUAUUUGAAAAAGGGUAUUUUUGAAAAUGGAUAGAAAAGAAAGGUAUUUUUAAAAAGGAUAAACCAAAAGGGGCAUUUCUCAAAAAUUCUCUUAGAUCAAAGGUAUAUCAAUUAUUUAUAUUAUUGCAUUAUUUUAUUUAUUUGAAAUCCACAUAUUUAUAUGAGUACUAAUCUAGUAUUGUUAUAAACCAUAUUACUAUCAUCAUAAUUUUGCUAAUGAAUGCAUGAUUAAAAAAUUUUAAAUCAUGUAUGGUGUCAAUCAUUACAUUGUUUUUGCAAACAAGACCAACAUGAUUUGGUAGAUAUGCAGAUGAUCAGAUCGGUCUAACCAAUUAUAUACUUAUAUUGUAUUUUCGAACCAAAAACAGAGUUGAAUUUUUUCUAAACAUGACAACAUAAAAGCUAAUUAAGCCAAUAACUAGGCUUGUGAGUAUUCCUUCCAUUCUAUACUUUUUCUCUUUAGUUUUGUCACACAACAACCCCUUAUAAAAGCCGUUACAAGCAUGUGCCCCAAUGAAUACCAAUAAGUAGAGAUAUUGCGAUUAAAUAUAUCUAAAAUACGUCUAAAAAUCAACACUAAUUAAACUUUACUCACCUCGUUUCUUUUUAAGUGAUGUUUUAGUAAAAAAAAAAUUGUUUCCUUUCAAAAAAUGUUUUCAAUUUUCUAUGUAAUAAUCGAAUGUAUUUAAUAUUUUUGAUUUAAUCUUUGCAGUAUUAAUCUUAUAUUUUUUAUUGGUUGGAUUCAUUUUAAUUAACAAUUUUUUGAUGGAAAAUCGAUAAAUUAUAUGUUUUCUUACUAUAUGUGUAAAAAGUAAAAACUUUAAACAUCAUUUAACAAAAAAUGGAGAGAGUAUGUUAUACUGCAUAGAGAAAACAUGAUAGAUUAAGAUCAUAUUUAACUUUUUUUUUUUUUUGACAUUUUCUCCCUUUUAUCAAUCUUCGAAAUAUAACCUUAGAUAUCCUCUUCGUAUUUUUUAAUUUAUUCUUUUAUGAUUUCCUCAAAACAAAAGAAGAUAAAAGUUUACUCUAAAGCUUCCAUCUCUUCCUUAAACUUGACCAUUGCAACUCUUGGCAAUGUAACCACAAUCUGAACCCCUCCGACCAUAUCCGGUUCCAACCUAGAUGGUCGCAUGAACAUAUUAACCAUCCUAGCUGUCUCGGAUGGGACGACCGGGACGACAUUAACCGGCUCAUCCCACCCGAAAUCCAUCGAUCCAAAGAUCCCUAUAUUCCUCCAAUCCGUCAAACAAAACAACCCAUCUUUUUUUCCCUUGAUCGUUAGAUUCAUCUUAAUGAUCUUUUCAGUGUUUACAAGCUCUUCUUCAAGAUAAUCUUUAUCGUGAGCCUUUCUCUUCGCUUCUUUUAUGAGCUUUACGAUAUCCGAAACUGUCGAUUCUUCCACUUCUCUAGCCGUUAGUGGCACGUACAUAUCAAUAUAUGCGUUACCAUAGUAUCCAUCAGGCAAAGGUGGAUCCACAACAUUGCGUAUUCCUACUGAUAAACCCAAAACAGUGACUCCAUCUCGAUCCAAAUCAAGAGCUUUAACUCUUGACUUCCAUAAAUAAGCUCCUAUGACUUCGAAAGUAGUGACUGCCUCACUAGAGAAGUCGUACUCUUUCAAUGUAGCUUCUUUCAAUCUUCUUAUGCUAUCAGCUUUAAUAUUUAUUUUUUCAGUUACCUAACAAGGAUAGAACAAACAUAUUAUUUUAGAUGCAAAUUAAAAAAGUAACAUAUAUAUAGUAUUUUGUUUUAGUGCAUGCACACAUGCAUACCCAAUCAUCCGUUGGUAAGUAGGGAGAAGCGGCCGUGUCGCCGCCGGGAAGAAACGGAGGUUCAUCAUCGUCGUCUUCGGGUUUCCCGACAAGUCUUUCUCUUUCCCAAACCGGAGUCAACGUUGGUUUCUUGUUGCCGCCGGCUAACUCAGUUAAGGCACACAUGAUAUGACCUUCACCAUAUCCAUCGCACAUUGCAUGUGACAUCGCCAUCCCUAAUAUGAAUCCUCCACAUCCAAAUUUGGUUACCUGUCAUUACCAAUAAGGUUAUUUAAUGUGGGAUAUAUGAAAUAUUAUUAAUACAUCUGAAGUUGAUGUGAGAAAAAGUUUGGUCCCUAUUAGUUUAAUACUCAUGAUAGUCCCCUGGCACAAGCUGUGUUGUUUAUAAAUUUACGUUGUUUUACAUCACAAAAAAAAACAAAAACUAAUUACCCAACAGUUACGCUGCAUUAAGUUUCCAUGCACGAAAUUAUAUAGACAAGACAAAACUGAUUACAUGGCAGUCAUGCAUGACCUGUCUGAUAUUAAAACAUACCUAUAUUUUAAAGAGGUUUACCUGUUGUUACAUAUUUUGCUAAAUUAUGUCUCGAUCGAAGAUACAUAAAAUAUGUAAGUAGAUUUCUAUAUGUAUGGGAAUUUUUUUAUGGAUGUAAAUAUUUUUCCUUGAUGAUAUAUGAUUUUUAAUCCGAACAAAGGGAUCCAAACCAAACCAAGUCGAGCCAAAUUAACAAAUCCAAAAACCAAAUCGUAUGACCAUGAAUGUUUGCAAAAAUUUUAAGUGUUUUUAGAUUAUGUUUUUUAGUUGUAAUUUGUGUUAAAAACUUUUUAAGAAAUCUAAAAUGAUAACUUUUUAAAAUUGACAAAAACUAUAAAAAAAUCUAAUAUUCUCCAUCUUUUAGGAAAUCUUUUGUCAUAUUCUUGAUUAACUAUAAAGUAAAAAUUUUGGGAAAACUAAAACCAAGAAUAACUUCAAAAUCCUUAACCAUUUAAAAUCAAGAAUAUGUAAAUGUGAUAAUAACCCAAAUCCAAACUAUAAACACCUAAAAAUCAUGAACAGUUUGUGUACCUGCAAAGCAAAAGGUCGAUAACACUCGUUCUCCACGUGAAGUUCAGGCAAGAACUUCAAGGCCGUAUCUGAGUCAAUGUUCUCAAGAUUAUUCAAAGAAGAGAGCUCCACAUUUUCAGUAGCCACCGUGAACGGCACACCACCUUCAUCGCCACCGCAGGUCAACAGAAGCUUCCGGUCACUCUCCUGCCGCUUCAAACUCCCUGAAAGUGGACAAUAAUAGACAAGAAGAUCAGACAAAGCCUCCUUAAGUAAAGCUUCCGCCUGGUCAUCAUUAUCCACAACGUUCUUGGCUUUGAAAACGUAACAGGCCUUGUAGAUGACCUCAUUGUAAGGAUCAUUGUCAAGUGUUGAAAGAGAAAGAGUUUGUUUAGGUAUGUGUUUUGAGGGUUUCACUAUUUCGGUGAGCUUUUUUUGUGCCAUUAAAGGGAUCGACAUGUUUUGAUUUCUGUGUGUAUAGCCUUAAUUAGUGAACACUCUAGUCCUUUAUAAACAAAAGAUUUGGCGUCAUGUUCGCCACGUCUAACCUUGAAGAUUAACAACUGUCACUUUUAUUUAUAUUCUAAUUUAAAUUAAGAAAAUGGAAACUGUUUCAUUUACGUGUCAUUUUGAAAAUAAACAAUGCUUAAGUUAUUAUCAUUGUUGUCCGCACGGCCAAUGAAUCUUCAUCUUUAUUUGGGAAGCUGAAAGCAAACGUAAGUAACUCGUAUCAUGUUUAAAGAUUUGGUCUAACAACUGGUAUUACGUACGUGGUAGCCACGGAGGGAUCAUAUAUAUUAAAAGAUUUGGUCUUGCCAUCUUUAUUUGGUCAUUACAAAUUAGAUCGGACGAUGAAACAUAAACGUCAUGAGAUUUGAUUUGUAACGCUUUGGCAUAAAAAAAUAAAUAAAGAAACACUAGAUAAGAACAACCAACAACCCCCUAAUAAACUAUCUCAUUUUUGUCAGCAACCAAUCAAGGCCAAAGACUACCAAACGAGAAAAUCUGCGUUAAACAUUAACAUCUUAGUUAUGAAGAAAUGAGAUAGUCAUUUACACAAGUUGGCAUUAUCUAUACAAUCAAAAUCAAGAUUUGAGAAAGACACUUACAUUGAUUAUCUUCACGCUAUUUGUUUUUCACAAAUUAUUUCAAACAGAUAUCAUACUUUACACGCAUUUAUAACAAUAUUAAAAUAAUUAUGUACUCAAAUAUAAUUUAAUCACAAAGAAAAGCAGAAUAACACAACUAAAAAACUUAGUGACAUUAUGAAAAAACAACAUUUUCUGAUAGUCAUGUUUAGACUAAUGCUCUAAAUCAAGUCUUGCCAUGUUUCUUUGGUCAUUGCAAAUUAUAUCGGACGAUGAAACAUAAAUGUCAUGACAUUUGAUUUGUAACGGUUUGACAUUAAAAAAAAAAAACAACGAAACACUAGAUAAGAACCACCAAUAAACUAACAACACAAAAAUACUACCAAACAAGAAAAUCUGCGUUGAACACUAACAUUUUUUUUUUUGACCUUUUAAAGAAAUGAGAUGGUCAUUAUUGUUUGGGAUGAUUUAGACCAUUAAAAAUCAAGAUUUGAGAAAGAAAAUUACAUUGGUUGUUUUAACCACAAUGACAUUGUUUAUUGUAAAUAUAUAUUGUAGGGAGGAGCUUGAGGAACUAUCAGCUGAGUUUCUAUUGAAUUCGGCUGGACAUUGGCCCAUUAAUUUUACCCUUACAUUCUCUGGCCGUUUGUUCAAAACUUAGACUAAAUACAUUAUUGUCAUGGCUUGUUAUCUUAGAUUUCUCUUCUUCUGAUUACUUUGUUUUAGUUUUUUUUUUUCCUCCUAAGUUUUCAAAUCUUGAUUGAAAGAAAUGAAAAUGAACAAGGACUACAACAAUAUUAUCUUAUUAUUGAAAUAAGCUAUUAAUAUUUAUUGAUUUUAUUAUUAAGCUUACCACACACAAAAGAAAGACUAGUCAUGCUUUAGUCUAGAGCAUUGAUCUCAUCCUUGAACUUAACCAUUGCAGGUCUUGGCAAUGUAGUCAUGAUCUGAACCCCUCCAACCAUCGCCUGUUCCAAACUUGAUGGUCGCAUGACCAUAUUAAACGUCCUAGCUGUUUCCGGGGGUACUACAGGGACAACAUUCACUGGUUCAUUCCAUCUGAAAUCCAUUGAUCCAAAAAUCCCAAUAUUCCUACAAUCUGUCAAUAAAUAUAACCCAUCUUUCUUUCCUUUGGUCUUUAACUUCAUAUUAAUGAUAUUUUCUAUGUUUGCAAGCUCUCCUUGGAGGUAAGUUUUACUCUGACCUUUCUUCUUUGUUUCUUUUAUGAGUUUUACGAUGUCUACGAAGCUUUUUGUUUUCUUCCUUUUCGUCUUCUACUUUUAUACAAAAAUCUUUGCUUUUCAUUUCUCUAAAUACAUAUAACUAUUAUAACCAAAAGUAAAUAUCUCAAUUUUUAAAAUUUAAUAGUUAAAAGAAGGGUAACACCUCAGUUAGGAAUAUAUUUGUCCACGCAGAGAGAUUUAAAAGAACUGAUUUGUUACACUUAUCUUUUCGGUCGAAUGUCUUAAGAGAACUUCACCUUAUACCAGAGUGGUUUCAGGUUGAAUAACCUUCCGAUAAGUAUUUGAUGGAACUGUACGAGUGAAAACGAAAGACGGGAAAAAAAUAUAUGGUAAUAAAAAAUAUUUAAAGCAUUGCAUACGUUGUCGGAUACGAGUGAACUUACGGACCUGUACCUGGAUAGGACAUGGACUCCAUUGAUCUAGAGGAGUAUAACAGAAAAAAAAACGCCUCGAGCUUGUAAUGGUGAUAAGUUUGUAAAUUGUAAUGAGUGAUUUUGGUCAUUUGAGAUUCUAGUUUAAGCAAAGAUUCCAAAAACUUCAUUAGAUAAAACGGCAAAGUAAGACAGAAACAGAGAGAACAAAAUCAUCUGGUCAAGUUAGUGUCACCAGUUAAGUUUUUUGCAAAAAUAACCCUAAGCACAACAGGUUAAAGUCCGGUUAAAAUAACCUUUCCUAGAAAAGGCAAGUGUUCAAGGAAUUCAAUUUACAAAUAGUUAUGACUUAACGAGGUUUAGUGUGAGAGCAAAUGCUUAACUCUGUUCCCUUCUCUAAAGUGGAAUCGCUGGCCAAACAUGUUUUGCUUUCCAGUUUACAAAAAUUGUUCCUCCUAUCUCAUUUUCCUAAAAACUGAAACAGAGCAAAACGAAAAACUAUAUCGCAGAUCUUAAUUCACAGUUUUACUUUUUACCCUCCUUCCAUUUCCAGAAGCGCGGCGGCCGAGCUCUCUAGGAUGUUAGUGGCUCAGGCGUUAUCAAAAAAAGGCGAAAUCUUGAUGUUCAAAAAGCUUUCAGAAAACCAAUCAUGUUUCUGAAUCUUCUGCUUCUUCUUCAAUUACAGUCGGGAGCGAUCCUUCUCUGCUGAAACCGGGGUUUAGGAACUUGGCCACAAAAGCCCAUAGCUUAUAAACAUCCUCAAAGUUUGACAAGAAGCUGAGUGAAGCUGUGACAACCUCAAAUCGCACAAACCCAUUUUUUCCACCGCGCUUACCAGCUUCUCUCUGCAGAUGCAAAGAGCUAUCUUCCUUGAUCCUAGCGCCCCCACGGUGGUUUCGCGGAAGAUCCAUUAUGCGUAUGUGACUCAAGAUACCAAUACCAAGAGAUACACCUUCUCUCUCAGCCAGUUUCAGAACAACUUCUGGACUUACAAACCCUUUGCUUUUGUCUUUCACGUUGAAAGCAACCGCUGCUCCUCUUUCGUACUUUAUCUUUGGGCCAUAUAUCUGCACAAGAUUCAUGUAUCUGCUGCUACCGUCACUGCCUGGUUCAGGCACUUUCAGCUGUAGCAAAGAGAUCACAAGCCAGUUAAUCAGAAAUCUGAGCCUAGUUGUGGUUUUAUUAAGACCUAACAUAUUCACAUGAUCUAUAUGGCUGCAAACAAUCUCGGGCUCCCUUCUGUCCCAAUCAUCCUCAUUUUGAUUUUCACCAUCACUUUCGUCAUAUACACUGGCCAGAGAAGCUUCACCUUGGUCCAGACUAUGGCUGAUACGGUCCAUGUUGAACGAAACCCGUGUUCCUCUGCUUGGUUGUUCAUCUUCCACACCCAAAAGCCUCCCACCAGUACCCCUUCUUCCCAAUAACCUAAACUCACCUUCUGUUUCUCGUCUAAUUGCGUUAUCUUUCAUAUCUGAAGAAAUCUUGGAGCUUGAGCCAUUUGAUCCAAAACCAGAUCCUGCACGAUUUUCUUCCUGUAUCUCUUGAAUUUGGAAAUUAUUAGAGUUCCUCAGAUUCCGUGAUGGUGUUGAGUUCGUCUCCUGAGUAACUGACAUAACUGCAGCAUCAAACGAGAGGACAUCUUUACCAUCAUACAUAGGACUGCUGUAGUUCUUUGCUACCGGUUUUGGUGAUUGGCGUUUGCUGGUAAACCAAAAUGGUGGCAACGGAGAGGCGAUUUUAUGGUGGUUCAGGUGACCACCACGGUCAGACCCAAGCGGACUUUGACCCAAAUCAAUCCAAAAGGAAUUGUCAGAUGACUCAUCUUCACUGAAAGCUGGGCUUUUCAUCAAUUCUCCAACCGAAACACUUUCAUUUUCUUCAAAUAUGGUACUACUAGUCCCAUCUCUAUCUGAUGUAUUAUCGUCUAAGAGCUCUGUUUCAAACACAUCCCGCACUUGCGCUGACGUGUAUGCACCAGAGAAUACCGGCAUCUGAGCGCCUCUACGAGCAGCUUCUGUUGUUGCUGGUUUAUCGCCAUUUGUACCAACGUCUUGAUCUUCAAGACCAACCAAUCCGUCCAGACCAUCUAUCGAAUCACUGAGAUAUAACGGAUAUUGAGGUGUGAUCUUCACUAUUCCUGAUCCUGUUUUACCGGACUGACUCUGAAGAUUGCCCAUCACUGACUUCUUAAUCAACAGGCAACCAAAACCUGUAGGAUCAUGCCCAAAUACUUUAUAGAACGAAGUGAUGAUAAACUCUGGUCGAAACAAUGAUAACCCGAGUGAAUCCAUAUCUUUGGGACCUAAAGAACCAGCAUCAAGCAACACAUGCCAGUUGUUCUGCUGAGCAAGAGCCAUCCAUUGGUAAGAGUACUUAGAUCCCGUAACACGAGACUGAGCAGGAAACACAAACAACCCAACCGCAGAAUCCUUUUUCUUCCUCUUCUUAUGAGACAAACGCUUCUUCAAAUCCGUGGAACACAGCUUCAAGGUUGGCCAUUUAAACCAAGCAUUAUAAGCUUUCGCGCCUUUCUCUCUUGCGGUCUGAGCCAUCCAAUUCACAGACUGACUCUCAUGAUCGAACAUUGUCAAAAGCCGCUUAUUCGUAUGAAAAGGGUAAGAUUCCGCAAGCAACCUAAACGCAGAGCCUCUACUUACAGUGAAAACAAGACCAUACUCACUCUCAGGGAUGUUCAAAUAAUCCAUUAUCCUAGUCUUGAGAUCAUGUUCCACAGUUCCACUCUCAGCUCCACCAUAAAGCGCAUGGUUACUCAAAUUCGCAGUAAUCUCAGAUAAACUAAACGUACAAGAAUCCCAAUAAUGCAAAGUCUGAACAUAGGAAAAAAGCCCAAAUCCACAGUAAUCAAGACAUACCUUAGAAUCCAACAAGUGAGCAUACUCAUCAGAUCUCAACUGAUCAACUUUCUCAGAAGUCUCAUACUUUGGAUACAUUGUAAGAAACUUGUUAAAAGCUUCAAGAAGCUGAGGUAUAGCAUCAUCAGACUCAAAAGUGCGUUCAGCGGCUAAAGCAGUGGCUCGUAAGAAUUCACGUUGAGCGUGUAACCUAGCCAAGGAUCUAGAACGACCCAAGCUCUCAUCUUGAUUCUCAUUCUCAACUUGUUGAGAUUUAAAGAGUGAACCAUUCUCAGAUGCUUCUUCAAGAGCAUCUCUAAGCUUAUCUUCAUACAAUUUCCUAAGCAUUGAAGCUUUUCUUUUAACAUCGAUUGGUGAAUCAGACCCAUCUCCUCUUCUCCUGCUCUUACUCUUAUCUAAGAUCAGAGCAGCACAGUGAUGAAUUUGCUUCCACAGAGGAAAAUGCAUUAAUCUCAAUUUCUCAAAGCUUCUCUCUUUCUUCUGUUUCAGAGAUUGGUAACCAAAAAAAAGAUCUCUUUUUUUUUGCUCCUUUCCUCUAGCCCAUAAGAACAAAAGCCCUAACCAAAAGUGAAGAUCUUGAAACAGAUCAAAGAGAAGCCUCUAAAAACGGAAACUUUCACAAAACCCACAAAUACUAAAACGAGUUUUGCGGAACUUUCAACAAACAAAAAAAACAGAUCCCAGCAAAAAUUGUGUUGAAUCGAAGAAGAAGAAGAUGAAUUUUUUUGUAAAGGCUUAAGCUUUUUUUUUGCUCUGUAUUUUUUGUAUUUUGUUUGUUGUUGGAAGAUUAGAGAAGAAGAUGAUAAUAAAUGCAAAGCUGACUCCUUUCACCACCAAUCUCUCGUUUCAUUUACUAUACUACAAAUACACCACUCUCUCUCUCUCUCUCUCUCUCUCUCUACUCAGUGCGUUUCUCUCUCUCUUUACAGUUCGGUCAAAAAAGGCAUUGACUUUUUUACAACAGUAGUGGUGGCGUUAGGGUUUUUGAGAAACUCUUUAAUUAUUUCAAUUUUUCUGUAAUCAUCAUUUGUUUAGUUGAGUAUGAAAGUUACAUUAAGCUCAUUUUAUCCAUUGUGAAAUGGACAGUAACUUUUUAAUAUCAUUUUAUGAUGAAUUUUUUGUUUAUUUUUGAAUUAGAGUAAAACAAAACAGAAAUUAUUUUUUAAUUAAAUGAAACAGAAACUUUUUUUUGUCUUAUUUUCUGCCCUGAAAUAACGUAUGAAUUAGUCAACUCUGCUAGUAAAUAAAAAAAGUAAUUCAAUUUGUGAAAAAAAAUAUUAAUUUUAAAUAUAUAAAUGAUUUUCAAUAAAUGAUGCGGAUAAUGAAUCAGUUAAUAAUUUAUUUUAUUUUAUAUUUACGACGGAUAAUAAAUCAUUAUAGAUCAAGUGAUGCGGUUUGUAAAAAAAAUUAUCCGUUCUAACCGUGGUAACUAUCAAAUCCUAUAACUAAGAAUUACAUUAAGAUAAAUUAUGAAUAAUUGGAAAUCAAUUUUAACUCCAUUGAAAUUUUCUUUUUUUCUAGUCAAUUUAAGAAAGUAAAAAGUUUUUAUUAGAUAUGUUGGGUAAGCAGACCAAAUAUGUAUGCGUAUUAAAUAUGUUAGGUUGAGAACAGUGGGAAGAUUCUUGCUCCUUUUAGACUCCACAUUUAUGUAAUAAAAGUUUGCAGAAUAUUAUAUUGAAAAUUGGAAAUAGCUUUAAAAAAUGUAUACGUGUUUAUUAUUAUUAGCUUCUAAUUAUGAACAAAUUGGUAAUUACAAAUGAUUUUAAAUGGCUUUAUUUGGUAACCUUUUAUGACAUUGUAAACAGUUUGGAAAAUUUUGGUUUAGAGACCUCUAAUAAAUUUACUUUAAAUUUCAAGGUAAAAUAAACAACUAAAACCCUAAUAACACUUCAAUUUUGUUAACCAUGGAUUAUCUGAAAAAGUUUAAUAGAUUUUUAUAGAUUUAAUUUUCCUAAUCGUCCUUAAUUAUAUUAAUAACUAGAGUUUAAACAAAAGAGGGCUUGGAAUGAUUCUUUUAAGGAUCCGUUGGAAACAAAAGAUGUUAGACUUUCAAAAUAGAUUGCACAUCGGCAAAGAAACCCAAAAAGAAAAAUCUGAAAGAGUCAUGUAGUAGCUUAACAAAAGAGGUUAGGUUUCUUCUAAAGCUCAGUUUAAUUCCUUCCGCGCUGCCUUAGUCUUCCACCAAUGCUGUUUGGAUUAGGUUCAAGAGCCGCUUUCCUCUUACCUCUUGUUACUCGAGUACUCACUGAGUUAACCCCGGUCCCUGUCUCAUCGGAUAGGACCUGGUUAUGAGCUUCGACAACAGGAGUCUGAUUUUCCUUAGGUAUUGUCUCCAAAGUCAGGUCUUGUCCUGUCCUUUCUUGAACUUCUGGAAGAGCAUCACCAAUGUGGGCACAUGGAUGUUCUUGUUUAUCCUGCUUUGGCGUCUCAAGAUAACUCAAGACCUGAACAUCAACCAAUAUAGUCUGAUCAUCCACAGGAAGCAAGUAGCUUACUGGUCUUGUCUCCAAAUUCGAGUUUUGUCCUAUCCUUUCCUGACCUUUUUGCUUGGGUGGCUCAAGACAACUUAAGACCUGAACAUCCACAAAUGCAGCUUGAUCAUCCACAGAAGGUAAUAAGAAGCUCAGUGACCUUCUAGCUGGAUUUGGAUUCUCAUCUUCCUCUUUCUUCAAGGAAUCACCAUUCUGAUUUUUGAUUUUUGGAAGCUUUUGUACUUCUUCAGGGAGAUCGCCAUUCUGAUUUUCGUUUGUGUUUUCAUCUUCCUCUUUCUGCAAGAAAUCAUCAAUCUGAAGAUUUGGUACAUCUUCAUCAUCAGUAAUCUUUUCUUGAAAGGAAAGUGAUCUCUUUGCAGAAGCUUGAUUUGGGGUUGAGUCAUCAGUUUGUGCCCGUUUGGUUUGAAUCAGAUAAUGUGCUACAGACUUAUACCCAAGUGCAGCUAUCUGGAAACAAUACCAAUAAAGAAAGAAAUCUUCAUCUCUUGAUUCUAUUCAAGAAACACAAGAUAAUACAAAAGAACAAUCGAAAGAAAACAACGCACCCUUCUGUAAAUCGGACCAGUUGGAACCCAUCCUUUAUGAUUCCGGCACACACUGCAAUUGCAAAUCCCACGACAAGGAGGACAAAUCCAGUUUGGAUUCUCCAGAGCUUCGAGCACAUGUUCACCAUAUCUGUUCAUCAACAACAUUAAAUAUACAUUCACCACCAAUAACAGAAUAAAAACUAUAUUGCUAUCAAGUAUCACCCACCUCAUGAACAAACAAUCACCACAGAAUUGUCCUUGGACCAAGUUGCAUACACUGCACUGUGUACGGUAUCCCAUCGUUUUCUGCCUAUAAGACACAUACAUAUACACAUACACACUAAACCAUUAAGCAUAAAUUUCAUUUCACAGAACUGCAAUACAAGUUCUCUACAGAGAUGGGUUUGGUUCAUACCUGCAUUGGUGACAAGUCUUACCCGUAACCGGAUCAUAAACCCGUUUCCCAUCCUUAUCAUAGCCAUCAACAAAACAAGUCCAGGUUCGUUCUGUAUUCCCAAGAAGCUUCUCAUGUUCCUCAGUGUAAAUCUCUGGCUUUGCCCCUUCACCAAUCACCACACUCCCUAGUUUAGAUGCUUUUUUAUCCUUCUCAUAAAUCCCAUCAGUGUAGUUAACUGGAGUUGUGUUCUCCAAUCUAACAAUCACAGAAGAAGAAACAACUCAUAAACCACAAUUCCUCCAGAAAAAAUCUCUCAUUAAACAGUGACAAAUCGAUUCAUAAACCCUAAUCUAAACUCAAAAACCCUGAUUUCGACUCAAUAACCUCAAUUCCUCCAGCAAAAAAAAUCUCUUUUUUAAACUCAAUUCCAACUCAAAACCUCAAAUUCUCCGGAAAAAUCUCAUUUUUAAACUGAGGCAAAUCAAUCCAUAAACCCUAACUUUGACUCAUAAACCCAAAAAAGGGAGAAAGGAAGAGACUUUUACCGAGAAGAUCGGCGAGAAGGCUGAAGAGGAGGAGUCGAUCUCUGAGCCAAAUUAGGGUUACCACAAGAUCUCUUAACGGGUCGAUUCUCAGAUCUGAGUUUGCGAGAGAGAUUCAAGAUGCCUAGAUUUUGCAUCCUCUGAAGAUUCUCUUUGAUCCUCUCUUCUCUGGAUUGUUCGUAAAGAGACGCCUUUUGGGUUCCUGCCAUCACUACUGGGUUGAGAAGGUCCGACUCGUGUGCUUCGGUGAAGAUGAAGAUGAUUUCAAAAGUCUCUCUCUUUAUGGGCUCCUGUGAAGAAAUGAUGAUAAAGUUUAGAUUUUUAUUUUGGUUUGAGGUGAUGUUACAGCAACGGUCAUAUUAUAUUUGAAAAUGUUCAGGGAAUUUGGGGAUUGUGUUGGAGAUAAGUACACCUUAAUGAUGGGACUUAAUAUUUUUAAGUAUUUUUGUGUUUUCUAAUUGCAAAUACAGCCAAGUAAAAUUAGUGGGGGAUGUAGAAAGUUUUAAGGAAUAUAGAAAAAAAUAUUAUCCCAAUUAGUAAUUUUUUUUUCUAUUUGGUAAAGAAUCCAAAUAUUGGAUUUUAUUUUUCUUUGUGGACUUUUUUUUUAUUAGGAAAAGAAUCUAAAAUGUCUAAAAAACAAUUGAGAGUCUCACCUAGUCAACCAAAUUAACACCUAAUCACUUCCAUGGAACGCUCUCAACAUAUAUUGAUUAUUGAUUAUGUACAAAUUCAAUGUAUUAUAUUUGUGUGUGUCUUUUUUUUGUCAAAUGUAUUUUUAUUAAACUUCCAGAAAAUAUUAAAAUGAAAUUUUGAGUUAUAAAUAUAGAAGAUCAGUGUAGCUUAGAAUUAAAAAAUUAUUGUUGUACCGCUAGUUAAACUUCAAAAAAAAUAAGAGUUUCACAAACUUAUAUAGUAAAUUUUAAAAUGUUCAAAAAAAACAUCAAAUAUUCAUUUUUGUAAAAAGAAUACCCAUAUAUAGAGACUACGCUGCAAAUUUAUUUUUUCAAACCGACCGUAAUUUAGUCUUUUGUAUUAUAGUAUUCGCAAAUCUUUCCAAAAAAAAAUAAAUGAUUUAUUUUCCGCUAAAGAAACGAAUUCAAACCAAUUUUUCACAACACAUGAUAAUGUAAAAAAACUAAAACUUUAAGAAAAUGAUUUUUAAAGUAGUUUCAUACAUCGUUUAAAAUGGUCUCUCUCUUUAAAUUACAUAGUUACAUAUACACUUUUCACCCAUUUUGUUAGUUUGUAAAUUGUAACCACAAAUUUUUUGACGGAUAUGAUUUGGUAUUUCCAUUUUUGGCAGUGCUAACUUGGUCUUCAAAAUUGAUACUUUUAUUUCUUGUUUCAACAAACUUGAGCUACUUGGACUAAUUACGAGUCUAAAUACACAUAGAGUUCAAGCAUCCAACAAAUUAAAGGUAGCAUUUGUUAUUUUCUCACAAGCAAAAGGAAAAACUAGACCACGUUGAUGAACCACCACUAGAAAAAUCUUGAAGCCUACCACUUUUAUAUCAAAACGGUCAAACCAAAUUCAUUUUUAACCACUUAAACACUUUCUCACAAGUUUCCCUUCGAUCUCAAACUAACACUUUUGUUAUAUACUUGUUAUAUAAAUCUCAAACAAUAACACCAAAACCUUCUCAAAACCAAGAAAUAUGGCUACGUCAGGCAGAGUCUCUCUAGCUUUCACUAUCCUCUUCUUCUUCUUCUUCUUCCUCUUAACUCUCACUUCUUUAGUUGAAUCUGCUGGUCGUGGAGUUACCAAUGAUAAAAAAGGCGGCGGGUUAGGAGCUUCCUUCAUAUUCGGAGACUCUCUAGUCGAUGCCGGAAAUAACAAUUAUCUACCGACGUUGUCGAGGGCCAAUAUGAAGCCUAAUGGUAUUGAUUUCAAAGCUUCCGGAGGAAAUCCUACCGGCCGGUUCACCAAUGGCCGGACCAUCGGUGACAUAGUUGGUACGUACGAAAAUGGAAAAAAAUAAUACCAACAUAUUCAUCUACAUAUUCUAUAACCCAUAUAUAGUAAAUGAUAUGUGGUAUUACGUUAUUAAUCUUAAGAUAAGAUGUUCAACUAACACACCUACACAUUUAUGUUGACGUUUAGUUCAUUUUCACUUCUUGUAAAUCACUUUUAUUAACAUCAAAAUAGAGUCUACCAAAAGUUUUUAUAGCAUCAUGACUUUUAUUUGAUCUAUACUAAAACGUUCAAACGGUUAUUCAGGGGAAGAACUCGGGUCAGCCAACUACGCGAUUCCAUUCUUAGCACCGAAUGCGAGCGGCAAAGCUUUAUUAGCCGGUGUGAAUUAUGCAUCUGGAGGAGGAGGAAUCAUGAAUGGCACAGGGAGAAUCUUUGUACGUACCAAAACUAUUUUAAUCGGUUUGCAAAUGUCUUAAAACUCGUAUUUACGAGUUCUGAUUUUCUUAUGGAAUUGUAAUUUUUUUUUUGGUAGGUGAAUAGGUUAGGUAUGGAUGUACAAGUUGAUUUCUUCAACACUACACGAAAACAAUUCGAUGGUCUACUAGGGAAAGAGAAAGCAAAAGAGUAUAUAAGCAAGAAAUCAAUAUUUUCAAUCACUAUAGGAGCAAACGAUUUCCUCAACAACUAUCUAUUCCCACUCCUCUCCGUUGGUACACGGUUCACUCAAACUCCUGAUAAUUUCAUCGAUGACAUGCUCGAGCAUUUACGCGACCAACUAACUGUAAGAAACAACCAAACCAAUCUCGUUUUGUUAUUUGAUAUCAUAUGUUAUAAGCUAACCAUCGAAUAAUAUGGUUGGAAUAAUACAGAGGCUAUAUCAAUUGGAUGCAAGAAAGUUUGUGAUCGGGAACGUUGGACCUAUCGGAUGCAUACCGUACCAAAAAACGAUCAAUCAACUAGACGAAAACGAGUGUGUGGAUUUGGCUAAUAAGCUAGCAAAUCAAUACAAUCUUCGAUUAAAGAGUUUAUUAGAUGACCUAAACAAGAAACUUCCCGGUGCAAUGUUUGUCCAUGCCAAUGUCUAUGAUCUUGUAAUGGAACUUAUUACCAACUACAAAAGUUACGGUAAUACAUUUUUUCUUUUUGCUGGUCUAUAGGUUUAUACACGCAUGUUACAAACUUAUUUAGGCCUAUAUGACUUAGAGAUAUUUGUAUCAACGAAUUUUGGCAGGGUUCAAAACCGCGACAAAGGCUUGUUGCGGUAAUGGAGGACAAUACGCGGGUAUAAUUCCGUGCGGACCGACUUCGAGUUUGUGCCAAGAGAGGGAUAAGUAUGUGUUUUGGGAUCCUUAUCAUCCGAGUGAAGCAGCAAAUGUCAUCAUCGCGAAGCAAUUGUUAUAUGGUGAUGUCAAAGUUAUAUCUCCAGUCAAUCUAAGCAAACUUAGAGAUAUGUGAUUUGAUUGUUUGUUGAACUAUAAAAAUGUCCCUUUUGGAACAUUUAUUUUAUACACAGUUUAAUUUCUUACAUUUACGUUUGUUAUACGCCAAAGUUAAAGAUCAACUCUUUUGUGUAUGAAAUUUGUUGCCGUGUUUGAUUUUAGUGAGAAUGCUUUUGUUUCUGUCAAGAUUGUGAUAAAACUCAAAAUAUACGAGUCGUUUUGCAAAUUAACUCGGUAAAAACCGGUUCAAUUAAAAGCCGGUUAUUGUUACAACUCAAACCGGUUUCGUCGGUCUGGUCCGGUUUAAACAAUGUCUCUUUGAUCUUUCUCCCUCUUUAGGGUCGUCGUUAAUGGUUUCCUCCUCAACUCGCCGGCAACAAAAACCCAGAAAUGUCGUCUCUUUCGAAGAAAAGGCAUAAACUUUACAGUCGUUUCAGCCACAGAGCAUAAUCCCCUUCUCUAAAUUGGCCGUAUCUUGACUUGGAUUCUCAAAAGCACCUGCUUUAGAUUUGAGUAUGUUUACUUUGUUUUGCCUCGUUAGCCUAGAUUUCAUAGUUUUAUUGGUUCAGUGCUUGAAGUUGUUUUGAUAGUAGAUUAAUGGAAAAGUUUUGUCCUUUCUUGAAUCUAUAUGAGAAACAAUACUUCUGUAUCUAGUGAAGCGUUGGAGUUUGAUGGUGGUCACAUUUAGAAAUCACUCUGCGAUAUUGGUUAUAUAUGGUGAUGUUGGCGCAAUGUAGAGCUUAAAGUUCGUUCCUUUAUAAUGAUAUGACUGCUUCUUAAUGUAAUACAGUUUUCUUAUUAGUGUUUAUCUUUCGCUUCUUAAUCUCAGAUUAGGCAAUAAUUUCUCUACAAUCUCUAGGAGAAGAGCAUAUAAAGGUGUGGAGAACAUUGACAUAUGAUUGGUUUACAGUAAUCCUGCAGAGUCUGAAUCUCUUCCACAUCCACUGCUGUCACACAGUUACUUGCAACCUCCAGCUGCGCUUUCACCUUGUACCAAGUCCAUGCGCCGUGGCACACGCCAUGGACAAGCACAAACUGUUUCUGGUUCUUCUUCUCAAUUGCCUUUCUUACUCUCAACAUCUUGGUUCAACACUUGCAUACAUACGGUAAGUUUCCCAAAUACUCUUUGUAUAUUGACUGUUAGUUUUUGGUCGUUCUCUGAGAUCUAGAGAAUGCUAAAACAACACUACAUUGAUUGUUAGAUUUCUCAUUUCAGCUAUAGUAUGAAAUAAAGUCUGAACGUUUAGAAAGAUCCAUUUUAGAACAUGUUCAAUUGUAUUAAAUCCAGAUACAUCUUUUGUUGGUGGAACUGAAGACUCCAUCUGAGGUCAUUUGUUGGCGUGUUAGCGUUCGUGGUGAUUGUUUCAGUGACCUUCACAGGUUAGAAGUGGUCAUAGUAUAGGCAGGAAUAAGUUAUUGAAACGAGAGAUUAUAAAAGAUUAGUUGAUCGGCUUAGUUAGUUUGGGUGAAAAACUGCUUAGAUUUCUCAAUAUAAGAACUCUUAUUAAUAUAAACAACACCAGUGAGGAUCCUAUAUAUAUUUAGGCAAUAUUUACCUGCUAUCUUUAAACGAGAUGAUGACAAGAAUUAUUGAGGCUUUGAUACAUUGGAUCUUUGAUCCCCCAUCACUUCUUCAACCUCCUUAAUAUUCUUGUUCAUAAUCCUUCUAUGUUUAAAAUCCUUGGGCACACAUUAUCAUAUUUGCAUACAAUAUAACAAACGCGACCAGUCUCCACCCUUUCUCCAUGAAGCUUCAAGUUGUAACUUCACACACCCUAGCAGAAUCCACGGCAAGCACAUACCACUCAUGGUUAUUUGCCUUCUCUUUUUAGCCUCUUUGUUCAUCUAUUCUUGUAACUAGUUUCUCUGGUAAUAGAAGAUAUAGAGAAUGGUUCACUAAUAUUUUACUGACCAUUUGUUUUUACUUAGUAUUGACUAUAAGAUCUAGCUAUGAUUAUAUGAACCCAUGAAACCUUCUUAAACAAAAUCAUAUUCGUACUGCUAAACAUUCUUCUAGUAUGCAUUUUCAGCUUGUCUACAUAUAGCAGAUCACGACUAACUUUUUUUUUAAUUUUUUGAUAGAAGCUGAAGUUCAUAGUAAUAUACUUAUAAAUGCAGGUUUAUAGGCAUAUGAUCUACAUUAAUACGAUGCUGGAAAUUUUCAGGUAGUGUGUUAUCCUCUUCUUACAUUCUUAUUUAUAUAACCAUUCUUACAAAUAAUAUUAUUUGGUUAUGUCUUAUACAUAUAGAGUGUACUCACCCAUAUCACUCUCAUCUCGCUUAGUGUAGUCGUGAAGUUGAAUUUUGUAACUGUGAUGCAGUGAAGAUCUCAGAUUCAUUUAGGCAUAUUUAUCUGCAAUCUCCAAAAGACGAGUACAGAGUUCUUGAGGCUUGGAGAACAUUGCCAUAUGAUCUGCAUCUUUGAUCUCCAUUACUUCUUUUACUGGAAAGUUCUUGAUCAUCCAGCGCUGGUAAUCCUCGGUUACCGCGCGGUCCUCUCCACAGAUGAUAUAUAUACGUGUAACGGAUCCAUACCCUUCCUCACUGAAGCUUCUUGUCCCUGCCAGAUUGUUUGUGACGGUCGGGUUUACCCUCACCAACAUUUUUGCUAAUUCAAGAUCCUAAUCCGCCACAACAAUCAUCAAUUAAAAAGUUGACUGAGGUUACAAGCAAAUCUCAUUUGGGUUUUAAGUAGGAGUCUUACUUGGACCGGAGAGAGUUGAUACAAAUCCCUGGCCAUGGAUUUUGGUCCGAAAAGAACAAACUCUAGAGGGCGAUCAGGUGUCCCGUAGGUUCCAAACACAGUAUCCAACGAUUCUUCUUGUGGAUCACUUCUGAUCAGCUGAUGAUUUUCAGGCAGAUAUCAGAAAUCAAUAUGAAGAGAUCAGACUAUGCAAUCGAAUCAUCGUACCUUUUCAUAAACAUAAGCAGGUAGAUUUCUUGUGUCCGGCAUGAAAGCUGUCAAGAAGACAACAGCAGCAAUCUUACAAUGAAAUAUGUCAGCAGCAAGUGCAGCUGGUAGUCCUCCCAUACUAUGCGCAACAAGAAUCACCUUGUCGUCAUCCGGACCAAGAGAACUCAUAAACUCAAGUAAUGGUUUGCUGUAAUCCUUCAGAGUUUGAAUCUCUUCCAGUCUAGUCAUGUCUAUACCCGAUGCAGCCAGAUCCACUGCAGUCACACAGUGACCUGCAGCCUCCAGCAGUGCUGUCACCUUGUACCAAGUCCACGCACCGUGGCACAGGCCAUGGACGAGCACAAACCUUUUCUGGUUGUUCUUCUCCAUUAUCUUUUUUACUUUCAGCAUCUUGUGGUUCAACACUUAUAAAUUAUUAAGUUUCCCGCAUUUACUAUUUGGAUGGUGACUAAUAGAUUUUGGUCAUUGUCUGACAUCUAUUAGAAUUCUAAACCAGACACUAUAUUGACCAUUAGUUUUUUUAUUUAUUUGUUUCAACCAUCGAAAGCAAUAAAUUCUAACCUUCUGCAGCAAACACUUAAGUGCAUCAAAACCUCGUACAUUUGCAUUGGUAGGCUUGAAGGCUCUGAUACCGUAUAGAUUUAGAUAGAAGCAUCUUUCUUUUCAUGAAAUCAAGACGCUUUGUAAUUUCUUUAAAGGUCAUUACAGUAUUCAUUACCAUUCUUGCAUACAGGUCUUACAUGAAUCUUUAAUCGUUUGUUCUUAUGAAUCUUUAUUCUCAUAUGGUUGGUUGUUGUGGUGGAAGCUGAAGUUGGUUAUUUAUUUGCAGUGACAAUCUCAGGUUUACUUAGGCGUAUUCAUCUGCAAUCUCCAAGAGAAGAGCACAUAGUUCUUUAGGCCUGGAAGACAUUGCCAUAUGAUCUGCAUCUUGGAUCUCCAUUACUUCUUUCACUUGAAAGUUACUGAUCAUCCAACGUUGGUAUUCCUCAGGUAAUAUAUUAUCCUCUCCACAUAUGAUAUAAAUACGUGUAACCGAUCCAUACCCUCCCUCAGUAAAACUUCUUGUCCCUGUCAGAUUGGUCGUAACCACCGGGUUCACCCUUACCAACAAUUUCGCCAAUACAAGAUCCUAACCGUUGAGAACAGAGAAUAGAAAAAGAUUGACUGGUUACUAGCAAUCUCAUUUGUUAGAAUAAGGUAUGAUUAGGCUUGGAGUCUUACUUCUACCGGAGACUGUUGAUACACUUUCUUGGCCAUGAACUUUGGUCCCAAAAGAAUAGACUCUAGAGGACAUUCUGGAUUCCCGUACCUCCCAAACAGGGUGUCCAACCAUUCCUCUCGCGGAGUGCUUCUCAUCAGCUGGAGAUUUCAAUCGCAUAUCAGAAUACAACACUCAAAAGCGACCAUACCGUGCAGCCAAAUCAUCAUGUUCUAUAUCAAAAUCAUACCUUUUCGAAAACGUAAGCAGGUGGGUUUCUUGUGUCCGGCAUGAAAGCUGCCACAAAUACCAUAGCAGCAAUCUUACAAGGGAAGAUGUCGGCAGCAAGUGCAGCGGGUAUUCCUCCCAUGCUAUGCGCAACAAGAAUCACCUUCUCGUCAUCUUGACCAAGAGAGCUCAGAUACUCAAGUAACGGUUUGGAGUAAUCCAUCAAUGUCUGAACAUCUUCCAACCUGGUCAUGUUUCGACCUGAUGCAGCCAGAUCCACUGCAGUCACACAGUGACCUGCAGCUUCUAGCUGUGUUUUCACCUUGUACCAACUCCACGCUCCGUGGCAGACCGCAUGUACAAGCACAAACCGCAUUAUCUCCAUUUCAUUCUUGUAGUUUCAUCAUCUUGCUUCAACUCUUAUAUAUACACAUAGUCUGAGCUAUACCUCUGUACGGUUUCACCAUGCUUCUGGUGGCUUGUCGCGUGCAAACUCUUACGUGAUCAAAGAGCUCAAAUUUGUAUUUACAUAUCUUUCAAGCUAAAUACAAGCGAAAAGUCUAAUCUUGGAAUGAUAUCUAUGUAAAACUCUAACCACCACAAAAAUAGCACUACUUUUUGGACUUUUAUUACAGUAGAUGACUAGAUGUUACCAAACUCUAAUCAUUUUUUUUGUUCUCUCUGUUUUUGCUUUCUUGCUCUUCUAUUCUAUCGUUCAGAAAAAAAUACUACACUAAGUAAUACAUAAGAGAGAAUCAUAGUGACUCAGUGUGCAAAUCAUGAAAUAUGAAUCGUUAAUUGUGAAAACAUGAAAAUACAUUUUUCUUAAAAUCACUCAUACAUCACUCAAAUCUGGCUAAUAUAAUUAUGGUUGAAGCUGAUUUGUGUAACUAUAAUGCAGUGACACAUAUCUUAAGUUCAUUUUAGGCAUAUUUAUCCGCAAUCUCCAAGAGAAGAGCAGAGAGUUCUUGAGGCUUAGAGAACAUUGCCAUAUGAUCUGCAUCUUUGAUCUCCAUUACUUCAUUUGGUGGGAAGUUCUUGAUCAUCUCAAGCUGGAACUCCCUAGGUACCCCAACGUCCUCUCCGCAUACGAUAUAUAUACGCGUUACGGAUCCAUAUCCUUCCUCACUUAAGCUUUUUGUCCCUGUCAGAUCAGUUGUAGUGAACGGGUUCACCCUCACCAACGUUUUCGCCAAUUCAAGAUCCUAAAGCACAACACAAAGAAACAAUUAAUAAAAGUUAAACUGAGUCACGUUUUGGUUUAACUAGACGUGUGGAGUCUUACAUGGACAGGAGACAGGGUAUACAAACACUUGGCCAUGAACUUUGGUCCAAAAAGAGCAAACUCUUGAGGACGACCAUCAUGUUUUGUAAUCACAGUAUCCAACCAGUUCUCUUGUGGACCGCUUGUGAUCAGCUGCUAGUUACCAUAAAGAUAUUAGAAUCACACGUUAAAAGAGACCACAACAACGCAAUCGAAUCAUACCUUUUCGAAAAAAAAACCAGGUGGGUUUGUUGUGUCGGGCAUGAAAGAUGCCGUGAAGACAAUAGCAGCAAUCUUACUAGGAUAGAUGUCAGCAGCAUACGAAGCAGAGACCCCUCCCAUACUAUGAGCAACAAGAAUCACCUUAUCAUCUUCACCCGAACCAAGUGAGCUAAGAUACUCAAGAAGUGGUUUACAGUAAUCUUUAAGAGUGUGAAUAUCUUCAACUCUAGUCGUGUUUACACCCGAUGCAGCUAGAUCCACCGCGGUCACACUGUGGCCUGCAGCCUCUAGCUGUGUUUUCACCUUGUACCAGCACCAGGCGCCGUGGCAGAUCCCAUGGACUAGCACAAACCGCUUCUGGUCCUUAUUCUUAUCCAUUUUUUUUUGUUAUGUUAUAAGAUUGUGUAAUCUAAGUGUUCUGUAUUGUUCAUUUUAUAUAACCAUGGAGGUUAAACAACUGACAAUAUUUUAAUAUUGACGAAGAGUAAAUCUAAAAGAAAUGACUACGUAAUGCCAAAUUGCCAAUUAUUGAUAGAAAACUCCCCAAGCAGGCCGACUUGGAAUUUUUCCUUUUAAUAUUUUUAUCCUAAUUUUUUAACAAAUGACUUCAUUUUUACAUCAUUAGUUUUUUGAAUAAUUUUGUAUAUAUUUUUUGUUAGUCAUAAGAUGAUUGAUAGAUAUAUUUGAGGCUAAAAUAUCCAAUGAUAGUUUAGAUAUAUAAUCCACAAUUUUAGUAGAGUAUAAUAAUUUAUGUUUAUUAUAUUUAUUAAUUUAGUCAAGAUAGUAAUUAAUAUUAAUAUAGCCUCACUGUUUUGCUAUUUGUUUUUCUAUUAAAAGGGUAACUAAUAUAAAAAUUUCAAUAGUAAAAUUAUAUAAAGUAAAAUAAAAAAUAAUAAUUAAAAGAUGAUGAGGUGUCAAUCCUUCUAGAAAUUCCUUCACCUUUUUAUAUAUUUGAUGAUAUUUAAUUUCGUACAAAAAGUAAAUAUGCAAUCAGAAGAUGCACUAAAAAUAGUAAUAAUGUUAUUUCAGCUUCUUUUUCUGUAAUGAGAUUGAUAGAAUUAUUAUAUAAAUAUAGCUAAAAAGAUGCUAACAAUUUAACAUCGAUUCUGUAUGUACUCUCUCAUGCUUUUUGGUUUCCUUUGACAAACAAAUAAACUAGACGUACGUACACAAAGCUCAUAACAUUGAUUCUAAAAAUUAGGUAGAAAACAAAUCCGGGGCAAAAACAUUUGUGAGGUAAAAGGUUCUAUUUGUUUAGAAAGUAUUUUCAACUUAUUUUUUCUCGACAGAAUCAGAAUUAAGAAACAUUUUUGAACUUUUUUUAUUUAUUUAGGAUCCGAAUAAUAAUAGAGUAUUUAGCGGUAUGAGAAAAAACAAUUAUGAUACAGUACGAUUUAACUACUGUAUAUAUAUAAAAAUUGCAAGAUAUAUACGAUUAAUACAUAAUAAAUAGUACAUAAUAAAAUGUUUUAAUUGUAUUAGUACAGCAAAAUACAGUACUAUUUAUGUACUUUAACCCUUUGAGUAUUAAAUAUAAAUAUAUAAAAUUUAAAUAAGAUAAAUACACAUGUUUAAUUUUUUUUAGUAGUAAGCUAAAUAAAGUAUUUAGCUUUUGAACUAAUUAAUUUUUAAAAAAUAUUAAUAGAACACGAAAUUUAUUAAAUUUAAUUUGACUAUUAUACUCUAGAGGAAAGAAAUUGUUUAUUUUCCAUCUUUGCAUAUGAGGGAAAUAUAGAAAAUUGUGUAAAUUUUCGUAAGUUAAAAUGUUUAUUAUUGGUGGAACUAAAUUUAAAAUUGUUUAUUGCCAAUAGAUAAGCGGUUUUGCUUAUACCGCUGGAUUUUACAUGUAACAUAAACUUUAAGUGCUUUAUUUAUCAGUUGACUUAUAAAAUUGGCUAGAUAUAAUGAACGUCAUGGGUCCUAUAUGUUGUUUUAGCAACAUCUUCCUCUUUCAUUCGUAUUUGAUGAUAGCCUGCUUGUAAAUCCAACUUUGAGAAUACGACCGAACCAUUUAACUCAUCUAAGAGUUUUACCACAGUUCAGCCCAUGACAAAUAGUGAUGCCAAGUCUUGGGGUGAGAGAACAUUUUUGUUUGUCUUUCUACAAAGAAACAUAAAUUUAUGUAGUGGUGGAUUUGUUUUCCUAAAGUAAAAAAUAAAUAAAUUACGAUUAACAUUUUUAAAGUACGACUGAUGGUAAUAAAACAUUUCUAAAUAAAAUCUGUAAAUGUACUGGUGUUGCCACGUUCAAAAUAGUGGUGGAAUUUUUUUUAUUACACCGUCAUUUAUUAAUAUAACUGUAUAAUAAUUACAAAUUCAAAAAUGUUAGAUACUUACUAGUAUUACUUUUUUCCCCUCAAACAUAUACUUACUAUUACUAUUUUAGUGAAUAAGAGUGAUUGACCAAUAAAAUGUUGUUUUUAAAAAAAAAUUAUGUAUAUGUAGUGGUUUGUGUAGCAGGUGCAAUACCAUGGGUAUAGUUGUUUUGAAAUUAAAAGGUACAGUAAUAUAUUAAAAUAUAGUGAUAUAUAUUAUUGGGUAGCAUAGUUCCACUCAUGAAAGUUAUCUCCACAAAUAAAAUAUUAUCAUGUUGGUGCAGAAUUUGACACUUAUUAUCCAUUGAGUUGCUUUCUUGGCAAUGAGAUAAGAUUUGUAACAAUUAUCUGUCAGAUAGAUUUGUAUUAUAGUAGAGAGAAGCCAUACUUUAUGGAUGUUAGUAUCUGCCUUACUUCCCGAAGCUCGAGAAUUUUGGUUUAAACUUCAAAGUUCCAAGUUCAAAGUUCGAAGGUAGAAACUUCAAAGUUCUUCUUCUAAUUUUACAGCUACUACAAAAACAACAUUUGUUGCAUCACUUAAAUUAGAUCACAAAAUUAAGUGAAUUUUUUUGAAUCAGUUAUUUAUGAGUGAAACAAAUAUAUACAUAAGGUUUAGCAAUCAGCAUUAUUUAAAAUAAUUGAUGUUGUAAUUAACUAAUUUUUCAUCAAUUCUACAAGAUUGAUACAAUUUUUCAAUUAUAUUUUAUUAUUUCAACAAAAUUGUUAGUAAAAUAUAAAUUUCUUACAUAGAAUAGGUAAACGCCGUAUCUAUUGUAUUUUGUUAACAUGACUUCUAAUUUUAUUUAUUGGCACUAAUUACUUAAAUUUAUUAUUGUUCUAAAUUUUUUAUCCUACUUAAAAGAUCUAAGUCAAAGGAGGGAUAAGGAGGGAUUUAUAAGCAACCAAGUCUAUAAAUAACCAUAUCUAAAGCUUAGUGGUCCCUUAAGAAGUUAAGUCAAUUCUUAAAUUAUUAAAUUAUCUAGUUAAUUUAACAUUAAUUACAUUCAAGUGGUGGUAAUAUUUCAAAUCAAACAUUUUAAUGAUUUAAAUAUUAAAUUAUUUAUUAUAAAUGAUACAAUUAUUAAAAUCACUUUUACAAGAAUUGAGCAUGCAUUUAACAUCAAAUAUUCACAAGUGAUAAAAAUAAUUAACAUAAAUUAUUAUAAUUGUCACAAAUACUAAUAUCAUUUAUAUAAAUUGGUAAAAAGGGUAUUAUUCAUUCAUUCCUUUUUUUGGAAACAUUGGUAUGGAAAAGUGUCAUGAAUGUUUUUCUCUCCAAAUAUUUAUUUAUUUAAAUUUUAAUGUUCCUCUUUUAGAUAAAACAAAAUAUAUCUAUGAGAAAAGAAAAGCUCAAUGCCAUUUACAAGAACCAAAUAUAUACUUGAAAUGAAUAUUAUAGAUUACUUUUAAAUUAUGAAUUAACCUAUAAAAAAUUUGUUAAAUGAAAAUGAAAAAAAAAACAUAACAGUGGGUGCAAAGAUAUGUACUGAAUUCAGAUUGAUGGGGUCAAAAAUCAUAAAUUAAUAGGAAAAAAUAUACUCAUAUAUAUUUGGAAAUGAAAGAGUACUUUUCUCCAUAUCACAAUUCGUCUUUGUAAUUCAUGAUUCAUAUUACAUUGUUUGGCUAAUCAUAUAGUACUGUGUUAGUAAAAUAUGUUCUCAUGAUAUAGUGAAGUUUUUCUUUUUCUUAACUCUGAUACCAUUCAAUGGGUACCCAUUGGGAUGUUUUGCAUAUGUCGAGAGUCGUACGUCCUUGGUAAGUUCUUCGUGUAGUUUAACUUCUUGAAGAAUAUAAAUCUCGAAAGAUUACAACAACAAAACUGAUAAAUGGAAUAAAAAGUUCUUUUUUGCUAAGAAAAUGGAAUUAAAAAAAAUGGAGAUGAGGAUCAGAUUUUAGUGGUGCCAAGUUAGUGUCUGUCGUGUCGACAUGUACAACAUGCGAGUUAUACUUUUAAAUUAGAAUACAAGAAUGGUAAUAUUACAACAACAUUAGCACAAACGAUUAGGUCAGUUUUUUAGUACAAAAGCCUGAGGUCAUGAACUGAAACCACAGAGAACAUGGCCUAUUGGUUUUUUUUUUUUGUCAUCUGAUAAUAUUAAUAAAAUUUAAAAGAUACAUUGUGAAAUACAGCUUAAGCCGACGGAAAACAAAAAUAUCUCCAGAAUCUAAAGCUCCAACAAAGGAAACAAAGCCGAAAAACGAUAAGAAAUCCCGAAAACAUAAAGCGAAAACAAAGGAUAGCAACACAUAACAGAAAAUGUAAACCCGAAAAGAAACGAAUCCUUAAACAAAAGACACAGACAAAACCCCAAGAAAACACAUUAGUCUUAAGAAGCAGGAAGAAAUCAUGUAUUGAAGCCCCUGAAGAAGAGAUUUAUCAAAGAUGAUUGGUUCUAAAAUAUAUUACAUUAAAAUAUAUGAUUGACUCAAUUGAUUUACAUAUUACAUUAAAAUCCUCAUCUUUUAAAAGACCAUUAAUUAUAUUUUAUUUUCUUAUUCUCUCUAUUUUCAUCUUACUUAAUUUAAUUUAAUUCAUAAAAUAGUUCUUGUGAAUAUGAUUUCUCAUAGAUGUACAUAUGUAUUGAAAAUUGAUGUAAUAUACAAUCAUCAAAAUAUACAUAUGUAUUGAAUACAAUUUCGAGCUAUAUACAAUCAAAUGUACAAGUGAAAAGUCGAAUCUUGAAAUGAUAUUGAUGUAAAACUCUAACCACCACGAAAUUAUUGACACUACCUUUUUGGACUUUUAGAUGACUAGAUGUUAUCAAACUAAAUUAUAGUUGCAUACACGUUAGAUUCUCGACAUAUGAUCUAUUUUUAUGGAUCCUGUAUACUACAAAAUAAAUAAUUGACCACAAAUAAUACAUAAAUGAUAAAUUUAUAUAGUUUUUUUCCUUUUUCUUUUCUCUCUAUUUUUAUUUUCUUGUUCUUAUAUUAUAAAGAGAAUCAUAAUGCAAAGAAGAAAAUAUGAAUCUUGUUGAAAACACGAAAAUAUAUUUUUCUGGUGAAAGAUUAACAUUUUCUUAUUUCUAUAGACAUAUAUAUAUAUAUAUAUAUAUAUAUAUAUAAUAAGUAGNNNNNNNNNNNNNNNNNNNNNNNNNNNNNNNNNNNNNNNNNNNNNNNNNNNNNNNNNNNNNNNNNNNNNNNNNNNNNNNNNNNNNNNNNNNNNNNNNNNNUAAAGAGGAAAACUAAAACUGAUUGUGAAAUAUUAGUUUAUAACAUGAUAAAAAGAAAAAAAGAAUGAUAUUUCAUAAAUUGAAUCAAAUUUUUUUAAUCCAAAUUUGAGUAUUGAAAGAUAAUUAUUAAACAGAAAAUAAUUAUAAUAUAUUUUAAAAUCAAUUAAAAAGACAAUAAAAUAUCACAAUAUAAAUGAAAAAUUAACAAAAAAAAAUUAUAAACUUCCCAUAUACAUAUCACUCAAAUCUGGCUUAUAAUUGUGGCUAAGGCUGAUUUUUGUAACUAUAAUGAAGUGACGUACGAUCUUGAUUUAGGCAUAUUUAGAUGCAAUAUCCAAGAGUAGAGCACAUAGUUCAUGAGGCUUAGAGAACAUUGCCAUAUGAUCUGCACAUUUGAUCUCCAUUACUUCUUUUGGUGGAUAGUUCUUGAUCAUCCAACGUUGGUAAUCUUCAGGUUCCACAAGAUCUUCUUCACAUAUGAUAUAUAUACGUGUAACGGAUCCGUAUCCUUCCUCACUAAAGCUUCUUGUCCCUGCCAAGUUAUUCGUAACUAAGGGGUUCACCCUCACCAACAUUUUCGCCAGUUCAAGAUCCUAAUUCACAAAAAUAACAUCAACAAAAAGAUUGGCUCAUGAGGUUAUAUAUACAACUUAUAAUAAGUAAGCACAAACCCAUGUGAGUAUUACAUUAAGACUAAAGUACUCUUACUUGGACUGGAGAGAGUUGAUACAUCUUCUUGGCCAUGUAUUUUGGUCCCAACAAAGCAAACUCUAGAGGACAAUCAGGUUUCCCAUACCUUCCAAACACGGUGUCGAACCAUUCUUCUUGUGGAACGCUUCUGAUCAGCUGAAGAGUUCAGUAAAAUAUUAAAACCACUCGGACGAGGUCAUACCUCAAAACAAAAGUAUCAUACCUUUUCGUAAACAUAAGCAGGUGGAUUUGUUGUGUCAGGCAUGAAAGCUGUCAAGAAGACAAUAGCAAAAAUCUUACUAGGGAACAUAUCAGCAGCAAGCGUGGCGCAUAUACCUCCCAUGCUAUGAGCAACAAGGAUCACCUUAUCGUCAUCCGAGCUAAGACACUCAAGCAAUGGUUUGCAGUAAUCUUUAAGAGUCUGAAUCUCUUCCACUCUAGUCAUGUUUAUACCUGAUGCAGCUAGAUCCACCGCGGUCACACAAUGACCUUCAGCCUCAAGAUAUGUUUUCACCUUGUACCAAGUCCACGCGCCAUGGCACAGCCCAUGGACGAGCACAAACCUCUUCUUGUUGUUCUUCUCCAUUGUGUUUUUUUUUACUUUUAGCAUCUUAAUUGAUUCAACACAUAUAUAUGGACAGUUACUUUCCCCAUACUCUUUGUAUAUUGACUGUUAGUUUCUGGUCCUUCUCUAUGACCUAGAGAAUGAUAAAUUAACACUACAUUGACUGUUAGAUUUCUCAUUUCAACCAUAGUAAGCAAUAAAGUAUGAACCUAUAGAAACAUUUUUUAAUUUUUUUUUUUUGCUAAAUUAGAAACAUAUAUUUUAGAAAACACACUUAAUAGUUUCAAAUCCAAAUACAAUUCAACAAACAAUCCUAUUAUUUAAUCGAAUUUUUCGGCGAUUUCCGAUAGAUGGGCACUUAGCAACUGAGGUUUGCAAAACAUUGGCAUAUGAUCCGUCUCUUCCAUCUCCUUCACUAAAUUUACCGGAUAAUUGUCGAUCAUCCAUUGUUGUAGUUCUUUUGAGAUGAUGUUGUCCUCUUUGCACACAAUGUAAGCUCGAGGAACAGAUCCAUACCCUUUGUCCGAAAAUUUCGUCCUCCUCGAUAAUUCGUUCAUAAAUAAUGAUGCCGGCCUCUUUAGAAGCAGUCCAAGCUCAAGAUCCUAAAUUAAGAUUACCAUACUAUCAAUUAUAUGUUGAUCAUUUUUGUUUUGUUGGUAAAAGAUGAUGAUUGGAAACUAAAUCACCUCAAUAGGAGAAAGUUGAUAGAGACGGUUCUUCAUGUAAUCAGUGCUGAAGGACACAGACAAGCCAGAAUUGUCUGAGCCGUACGGCUUGAACUCAGAACCCAUCCAUCCUUCUGGUGUCAUGUAGCUUGCAAACUGUCACGUGAAUCUAAAACGUAUUAUAUGCUCUCUAGGGUGAUUGGUGAAAACUAUAGUCAAUAUAUAUGUGAUUCAGUAGUGGCCAUAGAUUUUUUGCUUUGUCAACCACACACUUCAACUAAAAUAAGGCUCCUUGAUUAGUUUGUUUGAUCCACAUAUUACAGAGUUAUAUUACGAAUUUCAUAAAUAUUCUGUAUAUUAAAACUAUAAUUUUUUAAGUGGGCAAUAUAUAUACAAAAAUACUAUUAUUAAGAUUUUUUUGUGUGCACCAAAUUCAUUAUUUUUCAAAAAUACCAUUAGAAUCUAUUUUUCCUAAAAUAUUACAAAACUAAAAUUAAAUUUCACUUUUAAAUCUGAACUCUAAAAUCCUAAAAUCCUACCCCUAAAAUUAUAUAUCCUAAAUCUAAAAUAGUUAACCCGGCCAAACCGGAAAAAAAAAUUUACCUAUAUGAAAAUCAAUUUUGACGUUUGUGUUAUUUUGGAAAAAUGAAUCUAUCAUAGUAUUUGUAGGAAAAAAAAAACUUAAAAUGUGCUAUUUUAGGAAUUUCUCUUUAAAUCGUAUAUUAAUUAUGAGACAUGUAUACCUUGUCCACGACGAAUGAUGGUGAGUGUUUGGUGUCGGGCAUGACAGCAGUCACAAAGACAGAGACAGAGAUUUUUUCAGGAAACUUAUCCAUGGCUAUGGCUAAACUCAAACCUCCAAAGCUAUGACCAACGAGCACAACCUUCUCAUCAUUUGGCAAUGAAGUCAUAAGCUGAAUCAACGGCUCAGAAUACUCUUCGCAUGUGGAAAUGUCAGUGAUUGACUUGGUGUUGUCUAUACCGCAGCCAGCUAGGUCUAAGGCGGUUACUCGAUGGCCCGAAGCCUCGAGCUGCGGCUUAACCUUGUACCAGCACCAUGCGCCGUGGCCUGCACCAUGUACUAGAACAAAGUGUUGCUUCCUCUUUUCCUCACUCAUUUUCUUCUUUUCUUUUGAUAUUAUCACCUUGUUUCGUACGCACACAUCCACACACUCACUACAUAUAAGUAGAGAGGCCAUAAAGCUUAUCUUUGAUUUAGAAAGAAAAAAAAAAACAAUUGUCGCUAUCCUUGAGAUAGUACUGUAUUCCUUUAAUUUUGUGAUUUCACGUGAUAAUCACAAUUUUAGGAAAGAAGUAACAAUUUUGGAACAUUUAUUUGAAUAAACGACAGUUUACUCUAUCGGUAAAAUACUUUACACUUAUUUUAGUCGAAUAAUAAUAAUUUGUAAAUAAAAUAUCUGAACAACAGAUAAUAACUUAUAACAAAAAAAUGUUUUACCCUUUUACAAAGUAACAAAAUCUGAAACUUCAAAACCAUUCAGUAUAAAUUAUUUAUGCAUUUGCAACAAACAUAUGAAAAUGUAUUCUAUAUCAAAUCCAAUACAUUUUUACAUAGGAAGAAUGAUAAAACGAAUUUGUAAGCAAUUUCCAUCAUUGGCAUAGUUGCUGAGGCUUGCAGAACACUGGCAUAUGUCUCCUCCAUCUCCAUCACUAAGUUCACCGGAAAAUUAUCAACCAUCCAUCUUUGGUACGGUGUUCUUCUGGAAUGGCUUUGUCCUCGAUCUUUGCACACUAUGAACGAACACUGGAUCCAGGCCCUUUAAAAGCAAUCCCAAUUCAAGAUCCUAAAAUCAAGAUAAUUAAGUGAGAAGCAACAUGUUUAGAUUCACUCGAUAGAACUAGUUCGGCCAUGACCAGACAAAACAACUAUAGUUUACAUAUGCUUUUGCCAACAACUAUUAAAAUAAAUAUCCUUUAUAUUCGUUUUAGUUUUAUUUUGAGACUUUUAACAUACUCAAACGAAUGAAAACUUUGAGUUGAAAUCUUAAAAUGUUUUGAAACAUAUAUCAUAUUUUUUUUUUAUCUAACAAUGAAAGUACUAAAAUCAUUUUUAACUGAAGACGAAAUAUGUUUAAUUUUUUUUCCUGAUCAUCCCUUUGCAAUUGUGAGGGGGAAUAUUUUUAUUUUUGAACUCAAAAUCAUUGCUUAAUGCUUUUUGAGGAGGAACUCUUAUAUUUAUGGACGUUACUUUCUCCACACUCUUUGUGUAUUGACUGUUAGUUUCUCGUCCUUCUCUGAGAUCCAUAGAAUGCUAAACCAACAUUACAUUGACUGUUAAAUUUCUCAUUUCAACCAUAGUAAGCAAUAAAACAUAAACCGAUAGAAAUAUCCAUUUUAGAACACACAUUUAGUUGUAUCAACUCCAAAUACAUUUUCAACAUCAUUGUAUUAUUUAAUAGAAUUUGUCGGCGAUUUCCGAUAGAUGGUCACUUAGUAGUUUAGGAUUGCAAAACAUUGGCAUAUGAUCUGUCUCUUCCAUCUCAAUCACUAAACUGCCCGGAUAGUUAUCGAUCAUCCAUUUUUGUAGUUCUUCUAAGAUGAUUUUGUCCUCUUUGCAUACAAUGUAAACUCGAGGAACAGAACCAUACCCUUUGUCCGAAAAAUUCGUCCUCCUCGAUAAUUCGUUGGUAAAUAGUGAUGCCGGCCUCUUUAAAAGCAAUCCAAGCUCAAGAUCCUAUAUCAAGAUUACCACAACAUCAAGUAUAGUACUAUGUACUAUCAAUAAGUUAUAUGGUGAUGAUAAUUUCUUAUUUUCGAUAAAGAUGAUGAUGAUUAUAAAUUAAAUUAAUUACUUCAAUAGGAGAAAGUUGGUAGAUACGGUUCUUCAUGAUCUCAGUACUGAACAACGCUGACAUGCCAAUAUUGUCUGAACCGUACGGCUUGAACUCUGUGCCCAUCCAUCCUUCUGGUGUCAUGUAACUUGCAAACUGUAACGUGAAUCAAACACAUAUGAAAUAUUAUAUGCUCUAGAGUCUAGAGUGAUAAGUUAAGACUAUAGUCUUAUAUGUAUUUAAUAGUGGCCACAGCUUUUUUCUUCUUUGUUAAACCACACAGUUCAACUUAAAUUAGACUCCUUGGUUAGUUGUUCGUAUAGUAAUUGUCUUAACAAGAUAAGUUCAGACAUUGAAACUUUUAAUGAGACAUACCUUUUCUAAGACAAACGAUGGUGAGUGUUUGGUGUCGGGCAUGAAAGCAGUCACAAAGACAGAGACAGAGAUUUUUUCAGGAAACUUAUCCAUGGCUAUGGCUAAACUCAAACCUCCAAAGCUAUGACCAACGAGCACAACCUUCUCAUCAUUUGGCAAUGAAGUCAUAAGCUGAAUCAACGGCUCAGAAUACUCUUCGCAUGUGGAGAUGUCAGUGAUCGACCUGGUCGUGUCUAUACCACAGCCAGCUAGGUCUAAGGCAGUCACACGAUGGCCCGAUGCCUCGAGCAGUACCUUGACCUUGUACCAGCACCAUGCGCCGUGGCACGCACCAUGUACUAGCACGAAGUGUUGCUUCCUCUUCUCCUCACUCAUUGUUCUUCUCUCCUUUUGGUAUUAUCACUUUGUUUCGUACGUUUUUUUCUUACUCUUCACACAUCCACACACUCAUUACAUAUAAGUAGAGAGACCUUAAAGCUUAUCACUGAUUAUAAAAAACAAAAACAAAAUUUGUCGCUUUCCUUGAGAGAUCCUUUUAGAAUUUUACGUGAUAAUCACAAUUUAGUAUUUUUCUUUCAAGAAAGAAAUAACAAUUUGAUAUUUCCCUUUGAAUAAACGACAAUUUUUACUGUGGAUUAAAACACUUUUUUUUUUUGUGAUUAAAACACUUUAUAAUUAUUAAAAUUAACGUUAAAGUAUCUUUCUUUUUUGUUUGGUCAAACGUUAAAGUAUCUUUCUAAAAUUACAAUGUUAGAACUUAAUUAAUAUACUCAUCCAGCUGUAAAUCGGAUGUUGACAAAUGAUACAACUCUUGUUACAUGCUUAUUCCAUGCUAUAGACGCAUACACGAAGUUAAAGCAUGUUUAGUCGAACAAUAAUAAUUUUGCAAAUGUAAAAUAUUUUAAAAACAGAAUAUGAACUUAGAGAGUAGUACAGUAUGUAAGAAAUAUAUUUAUAGAUAUAAAUAUCAAAAUUUAAUUUCUAAUAGUCGAUUGCUUAGAAAAUGUUCUACGACUUCCGCACAAAAACAAAUCUUGCAAAAUAUAACAUAUAUAUGGCAAUCAAGAAAAAUACGAGUAAAACAUAUGGUAGGGUGGAUAUGACAAAUAUGUCAUUAAGGUGAAUACCAAACUCUCAUAUAGAGUAACACAAUCUGAAGCUUUAAAAACAUUUGUAACAAACCCUUAUUAUAUAAAAUCCAAUACAUUCUCAUGAAGAUUGAUUAAACGAAUUUGUAAGCAAUUUCCAUGAAGUGAUCACAUAGUUGCUGCGGCUUACAGAACAUUGGCAUAUGAUCUGUCUUUUCUAUUUCGACCACUAGAUUAACCGGAAAAUUAUCAAUCAUCCAUUUUUGGUGUUGUUCUGGGAUAGCUUUGUCCUCUUUGCACACAAUGAAAGCUCGAGGAACAGAUCCAUAUCCUUCAUCAGAAAAAUUCUUCAUCUUCGAUAAAUUGUUAAUAAACAAUGAUCCUGGCCUCUUUAAAAGCAGUCCAAGUUCAAGAUCCUAAAUCAAGAUUACAAAUAUGCAUCACCAAGACCAAAAUAAGUAAGAAGCAACUUUUUUAGAUUCAUUCGAUAAGACAAGUUCAGUACUGGCUCUGCCAUGAUCCUGAAGAAACAUAUAUGGUUUACAUAUGUUUUUGGCAACAACUAAAAAAAAAAAUCCUUUAUAUUAGUUUUACAUUUAAUUUAGUACUUUUAAAUGAUUUAAAAUACUCAAGUUUAGUUGAAUCUAAUAAUUGAAUAGAUAUUUAAUCAUUUUGAACUGAAGACAAAAUAUUUUUGCUUUCUUCUAGUGCAAUAAUUUUUUACGUAGGCCACGAAAAUUGAAGACAUUAUUGUUAAAAAAUGAUUGAUCGAGUCACCAAUUUGUAUUUUACAUUUUUCUAACAUUAAAAAUGACUGAUUGAGUCACCAAUCUUAUUAAUUAGAGUAUUUGAGUCCCCCAAUUUCAUCAAAUAAUUCAAUGAUCCCAAAGAAACUUCAGUUUCGGUUUUGUUUUAGAGAUAAAAGACAGAUAAACUAAAUUACCUCAGUUGGAGAAAGCUGGUAGAGACCGAGCUUCAUGAACUCAGGGCUAAAGAACAUACUCAGUCCGGAAUUGUCUGAACCAUAAGGUUCGAAUUCGGUGCCCAUCCAUGCUUCUGGCCCUGGUAAGUUGCUUCCAUACUAACAUAAUUAAAGAAAAAAAAAAAAAACUCAAAUCAAAUAGUAUUCAAGAAAAAUCUACUAGGAUUUAAUUUUCUACCCCACGUGUACGUGUUAUCUCAUAUAGGCCACACAAUAUUCAUAAAGUAGAGUCCAAAAACAAGGAAACAUGUUAUAAAAGAAAAAAAAAUCCAGAAACGAUUUCAUUUCUGUCAUAUGCACUAAUUCAUUAAUCUCAAGGAUGAGAAAAAUAGUAUUAGAUGGUUGGUAGGUACAUUGUUUAUUUUUUUAUAAGAUUAUUAAAUUGAUUAUUUUUGAUUUUAUCGAAUUUAUAUUGCAUAUAGGUUUCAACGCGAGGUACACAUCGAUACUAUCACAAGUUACUAGAUACAGUCUAUGUUAUAACUAUUAGUUUCUCAAAAAAGAAAAAAACAAUUACCAAUAUAAAUUGUUGGGGAAGGUAAUUUGCUAAACUUAUAGAUAACCUUAAAAUUUUCUAUAUAUAUAUUUUUGCUAGUUUAUAAGCAAUCUUCCUUAUUUAAUAUUUAUGUAAGAUGAACCAUUUUUGGUUCUUUUUUUUUUUUUGGUAUGAUCCAUUUUUGGUUCUUGCACUUGUCCAACUUGAAUACUACUGUGCAAACUUUGACUUAUUAAAAAUAAAGAAAUAAAGUAUUGGUCGCUUAAGAAAAAGACUCUUUAAAUAAACGAAAGAUCUAUAUACAUCAUUCAAAUCAAUCGAUCAUAUAAAAGAUAUAUCAAUUCUAAAAUAAAAUAAAAUUAAAAACGAGAUACCUUUUCCAAGACAAAGGAUGGUGAGUGUUUGGUGUCAGGCAUGAAAGCAGUCAAGAACACAGCCACAGAGAUUUUGUUCGGAAACAUUUCCAUGGCUAUGGCUAAGCUCAAGCCACCAAAGCUAUGACCAACGAGCACAACCUUCUCAUCAUUUGGUAAUGCUCUCAGCAACUUCGUCAAUGGCUCUGAGUAUUGUUCGCAUGUAGAGACGUCAGUGAUGGACUUGGUUCGGUCUAUACCAGAGGCAGCUAAGUCCACGGCCGUUACACGAUGGCCAGCAGCUUCUAGCAGUGGUUUAACUUUGUACCAGCACCACGCACCGUGGCACGAACCAUGUACUAGUACAAAAUGUUGUUGUUUCGUCUUUUCUUCACUCAUUCUUCUGACCAUUGAUAUUUUUCUAUUCUCUUCUAAAACGCACACGCACACAAAAUAUAUAUAGAGAUCUUUUGCGCAUGGAGAGAGAAUUAACAAAAAGUCUUCGGUACGAAGGAAUAGGGUGAUGAUGCUACUCACGACAAUAUUUAUUUAAAUAUAACCAAUAUAUAUAACAAUUAUAUACAGUCUGUCGCUGAUCAAAAUGUAUUAUCUUCUUAACCAAAAUGUUUUUAAUUUUUGAUUAUUUUAAAUUUAUAUCCUAACAUAUUAAAGACAUAUACCAAAGAAUGGACUUUUUCCUAACUCCUAGAUCCUUUAUACAUAUAAAGUAUCACUUAAAUCUAGUUUAAUUAAUACUCCUAUUUCUUUUUGUUCUUUCUAAGUAAUUUUUUUUUAUCAAACUAUGCAUUUAAUAAAACGUUACACUUGUUGUCAAAAGUUUUCUUUUGAAUAAAUUUUUAUUCAAAAGAUUUUUUUUGUCGAAAUUCAAAAGAGAAUUUUUAGUUUUAUCUAAUUAAAUAGUAGGCAGUUUAUUUUGAUUUAGUAUAAUCUAUACUAUUAAUUGGGAAGUACAACUUGAAGCCAAACAACCCCAAUUUUAAAAAAAAUUUCAUGAAAAUAAAACCAUUUGCCAAACAAAAUUAAUGACAGCAAAAAAAAACAAAAACUUAUAGUUAUAUAUUUCAGUUGCCAAACAAAACUAAUGACAGCAAAAAUGUUUUAAUAAAUAAAUAAAUAAUAAAAAACAGAAACUACCUAUAUUUAUGUAUCAUACUAAUUUUGUUGCCAAAAAAGUGGAAAAUUAAAUUCGAAAAUCUCCAUGUAUAUAACAUAUUUAACAUUUUUAGAUAUUUUUAAACAAUAAUUUAAUAUUUAAUAAAAUCUAAUCUAUAGUAUUUUUUAUUUGGUUUAUUGAUUUCAUUCAAGUGUUUAUGUUAUUUGUAUUUUGUAUAACUCUUAUGAUAUGAUAUAUAUUUAUUUUGCGUUACAAAAAUCAUCAUAUAUAUAUUUUUUUUAUAUUGAUGUUUUAGGAAAAAUAAAAGAAAAAUAAAUAUGUUAUAUAUUUUACAAUAGAAUAAAAUAUGAAGAAAUAUUCAACAAAAUUGAUAUUAUCUUUAAAAAUUUUAAAAAUGACAAAGUCUUAAAUAAAUAAUUAAAAUGUUUAAAUAAAAAAAAUCUUCAAAAAAUCAAUAAUUAUUUUUUUUUCAAAAAUCAAUCGAAUAAAUAUUUUGUAUCACAUACAAUCUCUUAUUUUCAAAAUCUUCAUAUUGAAAAUGUUUUUCGAAAAUAUAGCAAAAAAAGAUAUUUAUAUAUUUCCUUGAAAUAUACUUAAAAAACCAAUAUAGCAUGUGACCAAAAAUAAAAUCAUCAAAUAAACAUUUUUUUAUUAUUAACAUCAAUUUAAUAAUAUAUUAACUCCCCAAUUUCGCUGGAUAUUGACUAAUAUGCAAUUAGCAUUUAAUAGUUUUAAGUAAGUUCAGGAAAUCAUAUCACACGAUUAUUAUAUUUUUCAUAUAAUAUAACAUUGCCAAUCCACAAAAAGAAUUAAACAGUUAAUGGAAUAAAAUAGUUAUUUGAAUUUUCAUUACUUAGUAAANNNNNNNNNNNNNNNNNNNNNNNNNNNNNNNNNNNNNNNNNNNNNNNNNNNNNNNNNNNNNNNNNNNNNNNNNNNNNNNNNNNNNNNNNNNNNNNNNNNNNNNNNNNNNNNNNNNNUACAAAAUAAAACAUUAUACUCUAAUUACAAGGUAUACGUUUCUACAACCUAAUAAUUAACGGUAUUGUUUUUUUAAAUGUUGUUAAUUACAGGCAAUAUAAUGUUGUUUUUUUAAAAAAAAAUAUGUAAAUGAUGCCAUUUAUAAAAAAAUAUAUAUAUAAUCUUAUCUUAUAAGGAAAGAACGAGCACAAAAAGAAACGGUUAAUUCAAAAAAAAGAAUUAUAUAACUAUUUCUCAUCAAAAACAAGAUGGUAUAAAAAAUUUGGAAACUUAAAUUCAAGUUCAACUUUUAAAUAUCAAAUGACGGGUAUCAUACAUGAAUAUGAAAUUUAAAUAGCAAAAAGUAAGUUUCAAAUUACUUAAAUAUUUCAAAUAUCGGGACAAGAAAUAACGAAUACAGAAAGAGAAUGAGUAAUUUAAUUAGUUAAAUACAAGCUAUAUAAUGUUGGUUUUUUUUAAAAUGUAAAUUAUUUCAUUUAUAUAUAAAAAAAUAUGAUAUUAUAUUAGAGAGAAAGAACGGGAACAAAAAGGGAAUGGGUAAUUCAAAAAAAAAUAUAUCUAAACUAUUUUUCAUCAAAAACAAGCCUAUAUAAAAAAUUUGGAAACUUAAAUUUAAUUUUAACUUUCAAAUAUCAAAUGACGGGUAUGAUACAAGAAUAUGAAAUUUUAAUAGCAAAAGUAAGUUUCACUUAAAAAUUUCAAAUAUUGGGACAAGAAAUAACGGAAAGGGAACGGGUAAUUUAGAAAAUAAAAAAUUAUUAUCUUAACUAAUUAUAAUAAUAUACAAAAGGGAAUUAUGGGUAACGGGCAAGCUGAAGACAUACUAUUUAUUCAUGUGGGUGGACCAAAAUAUUUCAAUUUGUUGUAAGACAUGCAUAGUGAACGGGUUUGACUGUCCUGAUAUCUAUAUUUAUGUUAUUUUAUUCAAAAGUUUUAAUGUUUUCAUUAGUUUAUGUGAUGUGAUAGUUGACAAAUUUAAUUGAUUUCUAAUUUAUCAGUCUUUCAGUUCACAUUCGAUCCGAGUCUUAUAUAAUGUCGAUUAAAAUAUUAGAAACUUAAUGAUAAACAUAGUUUUUGCAACUAAUCCCGCACGUACGUGCGGGUCCAUGCCUAGUAUAUUAUAAUAUAUUAUUACCAUUAAAUUAAAAUGAUAAUACUAAUCACAAUAUUCUUUAUUACGAGUGAAAAAAUUCUGAAAAUGAAAAUACAUUUGUGUUAACCUAAUAUCAUGUUUUGUUUAAAAAAAUUUAUGGAACUAGAAUUAAUUAGGUUACAAAAUUUUCAAGAUCAGAUAUUUUAUGCACACUGUAUACUGAUAAGUAAUAAGGAUUACUAUAUAUCAAAAAAUUUGGUUUAAAAUUGUGCAUAGGUGAUCAGCUUAUCUUAUUCUUACAAGCAUUACAUAUAAUUAAGCCUAAAAGUUGACUUUUCAGUUUAUAAAAUCCAGUCGAGCUGUCAAUGAAUGCUAUGGGGUUUAUUGAACAGUCACUGUCACCCAGCUAAUUAAUAAAUUUAGUUGUUUCCUCUGUCAUAGUUUGUUUUUAGUAUUAUUUGGUUAAAUUUUGCGUGAGACUUGGAAGAACAUCUUAUAAAAUGGGACAAAAAAGUAAUAAUCAAUAAACUUAGUUGUUAAUUGCCAUAUAAUAAUGCAGUAUUAACUACCCAACAAUCCAAAAUACAUAUCACGUCCAAAUCUACUCCAAAGAAAAAGAUCUUGGUGGAUUCUCAAUUUAUAUUAUCCCAAAAGUCAUAGCUGACCUAAACAUGUUAAGAUACAAAGUCGUCUAAUGAUAGAAUGGUCCCUAUCCUCAAAGCCAAAGAGAUGUUUUAUGUCUAACACAUGAACAAGUAACCAAAGAGAUAAACUCUGUUUCGUCAAAUUUCAAGUCCCUUUUUAUUUGUUAAUCGAUGAUGUUUAAAUACACAAAAUAGAAGAAAAAAAAAACUACCCAUUAAAUCUAUAAUUAAGAACAUGACUAAGUGGAGAUGUAAUCCAACUAACUUAGGAUAAGCAAAGACAACAUGAUCUCAACUCUACCGGUUACAUAGAUGAUGUCGGUUUACUCCGGUUAACCGGUUAUGUUCUCAUCAUCUAACUUGGCUGUAUGGUUGUCAAAUGUCCACUUAUGUUUUAUGUUAUAACGUUAUUAACAUGAUAAAGUAGAAACCAAUAGAUUUGUUUGAGAAUUGAGAUGAUAUUGCACUACGUCGAGAAUGCCUAUUUAUAUAAAUGGGGAUGAGGUCCAUAAUGAACAUACCCGAGAAAUUUUCAGAAAUUUAUAUUAGUAGAAAUCAGAUAAUUAAUUUUAGAGUACAUCAAACUUUUUUUUGUUCAAGUCUUCUUGGAUUGAUCGUUCCAAAGUUGUGACUGAUCGUCUCAUGACUUUGUAGAUAGAUCGUUCCAAAAGACUCAAGAUUUAUGAUCUUCGAUACAUUGUGCUCCGAAUUGAUGAAUAAACAUUUUGAUAGCAUGAUUUAAGCAUCUACUAGCCAUAAAGACAGUAAAUGUUAUUAUUAGAACAUUUUGAAAUCCAAACAACAUGUAAAGUGGAGACCUACCGUCCACGUCUCUUUCGUAGAGGACUCAAUGAUACAAAUAAAACAUGUGGUUUAUAUAUGGCCGAAGAUAAUUCAACAUUAGUAGGUUCAUUCAUUUACUUUUUCUUUUUCCUUGUUUUCUCUCAUUCAUCAUUGUUCUUUGUUUUUGAUAUAUUUUCUUGAAGUAUUAUUUAACCCAUAAUUUAUCAUUUGAAAUUGACGGAUCUAAGACCAUCUUUAAUGGGGGUACCCCACUUUUUCAAAGAAAAUAUUUUAUAUAAGAAUUUUCUUUGAAAAAGUAGAGGUAUAUUAACUAAGAUACCCAUUGAGGAUGCCCUAAACCACUUUAUGUGGAAGAACCUAAACUACUCUAUAUGCAUCAUGAUGUAAUCUUUACAAUUUUUUCUUUAUUUUUUUGCAUAUAUAGCGUGUCAAAAUUCAUAAUUUUCUAAACUAAAAUUUGAGGGUAUAAAACUAGAAAUAAAAUUGAUGAUACCUCAAUGUAGUGUAUUUAUAAAUACACUUGUGCAACAUCAUUAAUUAUCUCAAUUGAUAAAAAUUCUCCGACAAAUCCUAUAUAUAUAGUCGGUCCGAGUGGCGUUUGGAAAAAUGCUUUCGCCCCAAGUCUAAGAAGAUGUAUUUGUCUAGGCUAAAAGUCUUUGAGUAAUUAAAAAAAAAAAGACAUUAUUAGUUCCCUUGUGAUACAUAUAUCCACUUCAUAUUACUAGAAAAUAUGCUUUUUGUUAACUAAAUGAAAUAAUUGAGUUCACUUGCUCUAGCUUUCCAUUCUCUGGAUAACGUAACGACGGUGACUAGCUCUCCCGUUCCCGUCUAUAGUGAGAAGGAAGUACAAUAAUUUUGCUCCCCACCGGUGGUUGAACCAAUUCAACCUCCUACGAAGGAAUAUGGUAUGUUAUCAAAUCCUCAGUUAAAAUGUAAUAAUAGUAAUAAUAGAAAUACGUUUUUUUUUUUUUUUUUUUUUUUUUUUUUUUUUUGGUAAAAGAAUAGAAAUACGUUUUCUCUAACGUUUUCCCUAUUUAAAGUAAAAAUAGAAAUAUUGAGUGUUAGGCCUAUAACUCAAUAAGAACAUUCAUGUUUUCUUUAACGUUUUCUCUAUUCACCCGAUCUAUAGACUUUUGUGUGUACAACGAGUCAACAAAAUAUAAUUUUCCAAAACGUUACAUCCUAUCUUUUUUUUCCUAGACGCCAAAAAAGACGUACACUUCGUAUAUUGGUACCCACAUUGUUUUACCUCUUGUUAACAAACGUCGUCAUCGAUUUUGUCUCCGGGAAAAAUAUAGACAAAAGUAACUUUAUUCUAAUCUUGUUAUAUUGUUUUGCAAGUUGUUAGGCUCGUGAUUUUGAAACGCAUAUCAAUGAAACUAACAAAAGUGUCUUUUUGUUAAAACGUCACUCACACCAUCGUCACCUAAUUAAUAAUAAAGAACCUUACAAAUAUAUUAAAAGUACUUAAAUAAAAACAAUAACGAUAGGGUAAUAUAUUAUAGUUAUGUAUAUAUAUAAAAAAAAAAAAAAAAAGAAUGUGAAUCAAAAGCGGGGACGUUUGGCUUUGCCGCAGAAGAGAGCGUUAAUAGGAGGUUCGGCUUCAGUAUAAAGAGACCUCUCGUCGUUCCAUACACGAACAUAGAGUUCUUGUCCUAAGUAUCUCCUUGACCAUAUUUGUGACCUUAAAUUCCACAUUCCCUUAUUGUCUAAUGAUACCAAUACGCUCGUCCACGACAUUGGAUAUACCUAUUUUUUACACACAUGUAUAGAACAUUCAAAACCAUAUAUGUAUGCAUGCAUGUAUGUACUAGAAUAUGUGUGAUUUAUAACUAAAAUUUUUAGUGUUGUUUUUAGGUUUUUACCUGAAAAGUGUGCCUUGAAACAGCAUCAACCAAAUUGUAACCUCUCCUCUUGGCCAGGUUCCAUGUGCCUGGGCCGUAUCUGAUUAUAAUUCAAAACAUCUUCAACUAAUCUAGCAACCAAGUCUGACAAAUCCAGAGUAUAAAGAUAGUUAGAUAUCGAACAAAAGGCUUAAUUAUUACCCGACAACAUAUGCGCUAGUGCCGUCAAGGUGCCAAGAUUGUAUAGAUCUCUCGUUGUUCUGGAACACGAACUCGACGUACUCAUGAAGAGCCACAUCAAAGACUGAAGUUCCAAGAAUAGAGGGUCCUGGUGUAGGAAUGUUCAUCAUGGUUCUGAAAUUGAACACCCCGGGAAUGUUGAACCAGUCGGCUAGUUUCAGUGGAGUUGUUGGGUUAACGUAUGACACACGGUUCACUGUGUACCGGAGUUUACCGUUGAUCGUCGCUCUUCCGUUGGCUAAAACAAAAGUUCGAUUUAUCGGUAUGGUACCGUAGUGAAAGGAUCCUUGUGGAUUUGGCCUUGCUGCAUUCGCUGUCAAAUUUAACCUAAAUAUGUAUUGACCUUUUCAAAUUAGGUGUUUUCAUAAAACUUAUCAGUUUAGUUUUGUUUGACCAAGUAUAACUUACCUGAUGCUUCUUGCUUGUUUCAUGGACCAAUGGAUAUGGUAAGUAGGACCAAUGGGGAGGGGAUGAGAUGGUCUGAUUUUGGAGCCUUGGUAACUGAGGAUUCCUGUGGUGGUCAGUACUGGUUUGGUAAAUCUUGUUGAAGCCACAACAAAGUAGUCCUUAACUGGAGCUUUCAAUGUGACCAGCACGGUAACAGACUGGCCAACGUGUAUGUCAAGUGACUCAUAUACUUCUUGCAGAGUGUGAGAGCCUUCUACUUCGACGAGAGUCAUCAUAUGUCCUUGAAUCCUAAAGUUAAUUGAUGUCGAUAUCCCGACAUUCGAUAUCCGAAACCUAUAUAUCUUGCCUUUACAAACACAUAAAACAUAACAUCAAUAAAGAGUACAAUGGAGUAAGAGUAAGGAGAAAAAAAAAUCUUGGUUAUGAGGAUUUACCAUGUUGACCGGUAAAGACUAAACCUUUAGAGGCACCAUUUAUGAGAAGGCCGUCCGGGAGAGGAAGAGCACGACCUGAGUCAAGGCUCCUUCGAAGUUCCUGUCAAAUACAUCAAUGAGGUAAAACUCUUUAGAUCGUUUAGUUAAAACCCUAAAAGUAAUUAUGUUACUUGGAAACAAAGUUAACUCUUUGUAUUAGCGAUUUUACUACCUUGUGACCCAUCUUGUACCAAUCACUGACAAGUAGAGUGAAGUCAGCGUCUGGUUUAGGGUAAGGAACGAAGAUGACUGAUCUCUGGUACACGUUAAGUGCACCAAAAGCACCACUUGCUCUGUGCAUCGACGUCGAAGCAAAGUAUACAUAAGUACCGAUUUGGUCUUUGAGUUGAAAAUGAUAAGUCCAAUUCGAGUUUGGUUGGAUCGGACAGUUUGUUCCCAAAACUCCGUCUUGCCACGACAUCCUCCUCUGUUUAAUUCCGUUCCUACGUAUUUUUCUAAAGUAUCAAGUUCUUGUUCUGAAUGGUGAUUUAUUCUAUUCAAUAUUUAGUACUUAUUCCUAAAUUUUUUACGUACCAGGUAAUGAGGAAAGGUUCGUCAAGCUUGUUAAUGACAUUAACAACGAUGUUAUUGUUUGUUACACCUUCAAUUGCAGGACCAGGGAACUGGCCAUUGAUAAGAAUAAUCUGAAAAAAUACAAUACCAAAACAUUAUACUAAAAUAAAAUUAUUGUUUAUAAAAUAAAACCAACAAAAAAAGAGAGACAGAACAGUGUAUAAACCUGUUGAGGAACACCUAAUGGAGAUCUGGUUCCGUAAGUGACAGUCCAAGUGAAGUAAAGAUAAGGGUCCUCUGCGUUUACAACAAAAACUGAGCUGAAACAAUAAGCCAGUAAGAACCCUACAAGCAAGAGAUUUUUCUGCUUCAUUGUCUAGAUAACAAAUCUAAGUGUUACUAUAUAUGAUCGAGAGAGAUUUUGAGAGACUUAAUUUUCUUGAGAUUACACCAAUUAAGGUUGAUCUUAAAUAUAUACAAGUGACUAGCUAAGUCAUGAGUAUAGAACAGAGAGAAGAGUAAAUAAAAUGGAAGUGACGAAGUAAGUUCAUAUUGUGAAUCCCCAUGCAUGCAUAUGUAUGUACACAAAGGUGCCAUUGUUCUUUUGCGCCGUAAUUCAUGCAAUUGCCGCAACUCUCCUUCAAAGUUUUCUAAUCGAUUUUUAUUCGAGUAAUGUAAAUAUGAAUUGUUAGUGUUUGAUCUUGUAAAAGAAAAUAAUAUAGAGAGUUAGAGACAGUGAAACUUCUCAAGACUUGUAACUUCCAAAUCUUAUAUUUUUAAUAGAAAAACUCCUCACAUAUGUAUUCCGUUAACCAUAUUAAUCUGAGUAUCUUGGUAUAAUUUUUAAAAGUAUACUUUCUUGUCAUGCAAAAAUCUUAUAAUUUUGUUUUGUUCUGUGAGAAUAUUACAACUGCGGUAAUGAUCUUAUACAAUAUUAAUAUACCAGCUGUUGUGUUUGGCCGUGGUCGAUGACCCGAUGUCAGUAAAAGAGAAGUUAUAGUCACCGCCACGAACCGCUUCUCAUUUAUUGCACCAUUGGAUCGUGGAAUUUUAGAUUGCAAGUUUCGUGAUUAGAAAAAGGGAAAAAAACAAAACAAAACUCGAAAGCUAUCUUUAGAUCUUCAUCCUAAGUUAAGUAUAUGCAAAUUAUAUCCAUUGUUUUGUUUGUCUUUGACAUGUUAAGUUGGCAAACAAACUUGGUAAGAAUAAAAGUUUUUUUAGGCUAAACGCAAAUACAUAUAUCGAUUACUCAAUUUAUGAAUUUAGUUGCAUAAACUAACUUAAACAUUACUUGCUUCUACACAAUUCUCAUGAGACACUAAUUGGCAUUAAUUAACUAGUUAUUAAUUAGCUAUGUUUAGUUUUAAAAGUAAAAUGAAGGUGGAGUACGUUAAUUACCAAACCGAGUGGUAACUUGUGGACAUGGUGAGGCAUCCCUAAAAGUGUUCACAUUGGGAAACCCAAUUUCAUUAUUUAAACCAAUCCACACAUGCAUGCGUAACCAAUAAGCUCGGUUUUAUCAUGUUGCUCUCCUUGAGAUAAAUUAGUUGGUUUAGUAUCUUUUAAUAAGAGCAUAUGUAAUUAUGUUUUAUAUAGAACAAAAUAGAGAACUCGAUCCGAUAAAGCCUCCUAGAACCGCCAAAUUCUAAACUCGAAUGCUAAAUUUAGAGGUUUAUUCUAUUUUACAUUUUAAAGAAAGUUAUAUUUAAUUGAAAAUAUACAAUUUAUUUAUAGAUGCAUUUUUAUGAUAUUAUUACUUACGAGUACCUAGUGGAAAUUUAUUUUUCAGAUGUUAGAAUUAACAUCUAAACUAUAUAGAUCAAUUUUAUUUUAAUUUGUCAAUGAAGACCUCUAAGCAUGACAGUACAUAUGCUUUAUAAACCCUCCUUACUCGUCACCGAAUAGUAGUCCUACAUGUUAAACAUGGUUUCAUCCUUAUCAAGUAACACAUAUCAACCAUGCAUGACUACCACGUCACCACAGCUUCACAACGACGUGUUACAUCAAGAACUAAUACAACUCUAUCAAUUUCCGAUAUAUCUCGAUCAUAAGCCAUAAUUUUCGUAUUUUUAAUAUAUCCAUAUCUAUCAGCUAUUAUCUAAAACAGCCAUGUCUAACGACGUGACUAAAGACCCUUCACCAAAAUCUGGUAAACGAAACAUAAUGCCAAAAAUCUAAAAAUUCUUCACCAACUAAUUAAAUUUUGUUCUGAUUCUGUUUUGUUCCUUGUUAUUAUUUGAUAGAUAUUGUGGAAGAUGUUUACUUAUGGAGGAGGAAGAAACUUGCCUUCUCUAUACUCUCAGUCUCAACAGCUACAUGGGUUUUACUCAACUUUUAUGGUUUCAAUUCCAUAACAAUUGUUUCUUGGAUCGGUAUCGCCGUCGUCUCUAUGGUUUUCCUCUGGGGCAGUUUACUUCGCCUUCUUAGCAAGUAAUUAAUAUUCCAUCUCAAACUAUUUGGAGAUCUUAUGCAAAGAACUACAUAUAUUUCUUUUUUUAUUUAAAGAUUUUUUGAAAACUUUAUUAUAUACCCAAUAUUACACUUACUCAAUUAGAUAUGUUUGAGUGACAUGCACCAGCUGAUUAUGUUAAACAUACUGUUCAUGUUUUAAAAGGAAAUAUUUCUAAAAACUAGUCCUAUAAAUAAUCAAUGUUGUAACUCAUGUUUAUGUUUUUUUUUGGGAUAGGGUUGAACCGGAACUAUCAGGGUUAGAAGUGUCGGAGGAGUUUGUAGCCGAGACAGUGAGGUCUUGUCGGAUGUUAAUGGAAGAAACUGUUAGGUGGAUGUUCCGAGUUGGUGCUGAGAGUGAAUGGUUUGUUUUCGCGAGAACCAUUUUGGGAUUGUGGAUCUUGUCAAGAAUUGGGAGCCUUUUAGAUUUUCAUACUUUUCUCUUCACCGGUACGUAACUAGAUUUGUAGUACAACACAACUAAUUUAGUAAUACUGAUUAUUUUUAGUGUUUUGCGUUUUAUUUGGGUGCAAAUCUAAGCGUAAAAUUCUAAAAUUUUUAAGAAUACAUUAAGAAGACAUUAAACUAGUUUUGAAAAAGACAUUGAGUAGAUGUGAUUUAUGUUUCUUAUUUCUGGCAUUUACAGGUUUGGUGAUGGGCUUAACAGUUCCAAAGUUGUUGGAGAAGUAUGGAGAUCAAAUUAACAAGCAAUUGGCUAAUGUUAAAGAGAGAUCAAAGGGAGCGUAUGAUACAACUCAUAAGAAGAUUCUAAUGAUGAAGAACAAGUUACAGCAUGGUACAGCUGAGAAAGUGAAAAAAUCAGACUAGAUUACUUUUUACCUGUCUUUCCAAAGUAAAAUAGUAAAAAUAGUUGUACUACCUACAUGUAUAAAAUCGUAAACAAAAUAUCUAAUACACUAGAUUUGAGUAUUUUUACAUGUCUUUUACCGUUUUCACUACAGUAAAACUAAUUAAAGUUUGCAUAAAAAAAAAUUUAGCGUAUAUUUUUUAUCUUCUGUAAGAAAAAAACCUGAUAAAGUUUAAGAUCUUAUUUAAGAUUUUGGUAUUGAUUUAAAAUAAUUAAAGAUAAUGGAAAAAGACAAAAAAAAAAAAUGGAAAAAGACAAAACACAUAAAAUGACAGAAGUAACUCUAUAUCAGAGCCAGGUUUCGAUCCUGGGACCUGUGGGUUAUGGGCCCACCACGCUUCCGCUGCGCCACUCUGAUUUUUUGUUAGAAAAACCACCAACAGUUUAUUUAUAUGAUAGUCUACUUACUCUACGAUUCACCCUUAUGAAACAAACAAAGCAUGUAAGAGACUAAGAGAGUUGUAGUUCCAUCGUAAGUGUCUGUAUCUUCAGAAAUGCAUAAUCCAUAUCUUUCAAAUGCGCCAAACUUCUAAACCGUAGCGAAAACCCGAGGCAGGAUCAAAUUCGUUUUCGGUAUAGAGAAGUGAUGCAUAUUGACAAUGCUGAAUUAGUAGUAGCAAAAUAGUGAGACUGAAUAAUAAGGUUGAUUAAUAAAAAAUAUAAUAACUCAAAAGUGUUAGUAACUAUCCAAGAAAUGAAGGAAAUGUAUUUUGUUUCUUUUUAUUGCGAUUAAGGUGCCUUGUUUGUUUCUUAAUAACUAGCUUCCUUGCUCUCAGAUUUCCUCCAUUUAACCGGUGGUUCAAGCUCUGCCUCCCCCUCUUCUUCAUGGAGAUUCUCUUGUCCCAUUGGUUGCAUAAGAAACUGUGCUUCUUCUGUUUGCUCUUGACCUUCUUGUAAUGGAGGCUGAAGCAUGAGCUGUGUCUGAAGUUGAUCAUGGUUUAUAUGACCAUGUUCUGUCUCUUGACCCAUUUGAUAAGGAUCAGCAAAGUUUCCUAAAGCAAGAGAUGGUCCAGACAAUGACCCACCAGCACCAUGAUCAUGAUUCACAUCCAUUUGGUUAUAACCUGUGGCUGUAACCGAGCCAUUGUUGUCAAUUCCGUAACCAUUGAAUAUCCCUUGUUGGUCUCCUCUGUCCAUAAUCAUUGCUGCCAUUCUCUGAGCAUCAGAAGCUAUGUAUUGCAACUGAUCAUCUUGUGGUUGAUGCUGUUGAGACAAGUUUGGUUCGCGUAUCAUCAAAGGUUCUCCAUGAGGGAUCACUCCAGGUGGCAUUCCAUCCAUAGACAUCAUGAAAUUGGGUGGAGGAUUGUUACCUAGAGGAGGAAGAUAAGGCGGCGGAAUCACAGCAUCAGGUCCCAUGUAACCAACAAGCUCUUCUUUAGCAGUGACAAGAUCUUGUUGGACUUUCUUGAGGUAUUGCUGCAAGAAAGAGAUAAGACCAACACAUCCAUAGAUUGGGUCGCGUAUACGAGCCUCAGCUUCAUAGAAGAGGGAGUUAACAGUCUCCUCGCGCUGGUCAGGAGGGAGAUCGUUAAGGAUCUUGGUAACAUUGCUUGCUCCAAAGACUUUGUGAACACAUAUGAACUUUUGAGGAUUAGUUGGUGGGAAAUACGGAGCAAACACACAUUCUUGUGUGCAUUUACGCCUCAAAAGCUUGCAUGCUGCACAAGGUGUUGAAGCCAUUCUCUCUCAAGAAACAACACUAUCAAAAAUUCACAAAAAAAAACGGAAUCAAAACAUAGAUGACAACAAGCUAAGAUAAAUGAGGCAUGUCUAUCUUUUUUAUGCUUUAGCUUAAAUUACAAGGAGGCAAAAACAAACUAAGAACAUUUACAUCAUCCUUUGAAUUAAAAAGAUCACAUCAACUCUCUCAACAAAAACAAACAUAAUAAUUAGAAACAUUUAGUUAUUUUUUUUAUUAUAUCAGUCUUCAACCAAAAUCUAUCUCAUUUUAGAAAACAAAAAUAUUCUUAAAUCAAAUGGGUUAAAUCAAAAUGAAAAUAAGAAAUAGUACCCGAUCCCUGUUCUCAUAUGACCUUCAAUGAAGUACCUGAAAUUUUCUUAACAAUAUAUACAAAAAAAAAAAAAUAUAUAGAAUACAAAAGAUGACCUAAAAAAUAUAAUUACUGGAUUAAUUGGUGGGAGAGUGAGAGAGGAAAUGAAGAAGAAAAGAAAAGACAAGAGAUAUAUUCUAAGUACUGAGGAAUCUUGAUGGAUGGAUUGAUUUUACAAAGCUAAGGAAAAAAUGACGGAGAGAUGUUUCUGAGAAAAGUUUAAGGAGACAAAACUUAUGAUGAGAUUUAGAAACCUUAAAAUUCACAACAACAAGAGAAGAGAGAGAUGAGACAUCGUGUUAUUUUUAAAUAUCCUAACCGCUCAUGCUAAUAUUUUUAUAAUUUUUUUUCGUAAUUGAUAGAGAAUUUGAAAAGUGUCAAUUGAUAAGUUGGUAGAAGACCAAUUCAAUUUUGAUUAGGGAAAAAAACAAAAUUUAGAUUUUUAGAAGAAAAAAGACUUAUUUUUAGAUAUUUGUUUCAUAUUUUUAACUGAUUAUUCUUCAAAUUUACUAGGUCUUGAUCAAUUUAACAUAGAUAUUUAGAAUCUAUAAAAGAAGAAAAACACUUAGGUAUUUUACAUCAACGGUUCAGAAUUUUAAAUUCAUAAUGAGAAAUUAGCAUUUUACAUUUGCGAAGUAUAUUUAAAACAAUCAGUGAGUAUUCUUUUUGUUUUUUCAUAUUGAAACUUGGUACAAUGUAAUGAGUUAAGAUUGUUAGUUGAUGAUAACAAAGGAAAAUUUCUUAAAAUAGAUAAAAAAUAAUAAUAAUAUCUAACAUCUAAUAUAUCUAUAUUCUUUUUUAGUAUUUACUCAUAACAGAAAAUUAAAAUAUAAACAUUGGUAGAAAAAUUGAGUUAUUUUUAGAUUUUUUUAUAUAUUAAUAACUGAUUAUUAUUCAAAUUUACUUGGUCUUGAUCAAUUGAAUUUGCACAUUUAGAAUUUAAAAAUUAAUAUAAAAAUGUAGCAUAUUCUUAAGUAUUUUACAUCAAAUUUUUAUAAUUUAAAUACACAUAAUAAAAAAAAAAGCAUUUAACAUUUGUGUGGUUUAUACAAAACGAUCAUUGAGCGUUCAUUUUUGACUUCAUUGUUUCAAGUAUGAUACAAUGUAAUUAGUGAAUAUUUAAGUGAUAAUAAAAAAAGUAUAUUAGAGUGUUUAUAUAUUUCCUUGAUUUAAACUUGAUACAAUGUAAAUGAGUGAAGAAUUAGGUGACAAUAACAAAAGAAAUUAUAUCUUGAAUUUUACUUGAAUGGGUGACAAAAAUAUCUUUAUCUUUUUCUCUAAAUGAACUAUAUUAUUUCGUAUUUUACAUUAUUUUCAAAUAAAUAAUGGGAAUUAAGCUUUUACUAUUGUUUAUCCCAAAAGAAUAGGAACUCGCAAUUUAUGAAAAAAAAAAAAAAACAGAGUGAUAAGUGAUUUUGUGAGCAAAAUGAUAAGUUACUUUUGGGCAGCUCUAAAAAUUUGUACAUUUAAACUUGUAAAUUGUAAUAUACAAUAAUCUGUGAACGCUUACCUUUUACAGACUUUAUAUACUUCACUGAUUUACACGUGAACAUGCAACUAAAUAAUAACCUAAAUAGAUUAGGUCUUGAAGUUAUCAUUUUAACUUGAAUAACAAAUACUUAAAAUCUCUGAAGAGCUAAACUAUACACUUUUUAGUACUUUCUGUUUAAAUAAAUAAUAAGUAAUUAGCAUAUUUUAAACUAAAAAUUCCCAUAAACAAUGAUCAGUGAACCAUUAGUUUGUAUCGUUUAACAAAUACAAUGAUUAAUAAAUACAGAUUUUCCCAAAGCAAAAAAUUGUUCGGAAAUACGUCUAAAGUUGUGAUGAAUGUUUUAACUGAUAUUGAUAAGUUCUAUUGAUAAAGAACAUGAAUUUAAGCUUGAGCUUAUCAAAAAUCUGAACUUCUGAUAGUUUAGUGAUAAUACAACAUUAUACCCAGCAUGUUCUUUUUAAUUCGAAACAAAAUCCACAAAUAUACCUUUAAAAGUAAUUUGUUUACUAGUCUAUUACAUUAACUACUUCUCAAAAACAAAAUGCAAAUAGCAUUGAAUUGUAUGAGAUUUAAAAAAAAAAACAUAUAUAUAAAAACAACGUAAUUCUUAACCCUUUUUCAAUUAGAAAUUUCGUUAUCAGUAUGCCUUUCCAUUUUUGUAUCAUUUCAAUGUAUUAUCUCAACAAUUUACAACACAAAUAGCUAAAGUAUCACCAGUCAUACGCGAGAUAUUGACUUCAAAUACAACCAUGUUCAUCAUAAUGAUAUUUCCUUACUAAAUAACCUUGUAACAAGCCUAGCCUGAGUACUCUGAUGCAACAUCACGUAACCUGUUUUUUAGUACAAGAAAACAAAAUUUUGAAAUGAGGAAAGCCUUCAAACCCAAAACCCUUGCUCCCAUUUGGCGUUGUCCAAGUUUAGCAUCACCAAGUUCACUUGAUCCCUAAGACAUCACGACUUGAAAAUUUUAAACUUUGGCCAUAAGCAAAACUUAGAAGAUGUCCUAAGUUUGCGAGUAAUAAUCUAUUGUAGUAUUGUUCAACCUUCUAACUGAGAUCUCUUUGGAAAAGAAAUUUCGAAUUAGUUCCAACAAACAAAGUAAUGCCAUGUAAAGCUUUGUUUCCAAUGCAAUAUAUAUAUCAUGCUUAUCAGUGAAAACUCACAAAGCCAAAAAUAUAAAAUCAAACUUCAUAUAUAGUAUAGAUAUUUCAUUUUUAUAACUAAAAUUUAGUAAUUUAUUUACCUGUUUGAAGAAAUAUAAAGAAUAUAGCUUCGUCUUCUUUCUUUUUGCCUUUGAGAAGUAACAUUACAAAUGUAUAAAUCUAAAAAAACAAAAAAAAGAUCAGUGGAUGUUUAUUUUGAUGUCCCUACAUACUUCAUAGAUUUAAGCUUGAUACAAUAAAAUCAGGAAACAAUUACCUAGUAAAGUUUCUAAAUACUUUAUCGAUUUAAACUUGAUACUAUCUAAUGAGUGAAGAUAUAUACUAAACAAAAUUUAUUUCUUGAAUUAACUUGCAUGAGUUAGAAAUAUCUAAAAUCUAUUAAACUAUUUUGUCAAAUAUUGUACAUUUUAGUAAAAAGAAGUGUGGUAAACAACGGGGGAGCAACAGCUAAAGUAAGAACGGUAUAAAGGUAUAUAGUUUCCUCAAGCUACACCUAAAUACUCGUUUGAAACAAAUUUUAGUUUCAUAAAUAAAUUCUUAGAAAUAAAAUCCACACACAUGAAUUUUAAAUGAUAUCAACAUUCCAAAUUUUAGUAAAAAUUUUAGUAAAAAUUUUGAAAUUAAAAAGAGCAAUACACAAUCUUUUUACGAUUUUUAAAAAGAGUUACGACUGAUCUUUUUAGAAUUUUUAAGUUUAAGUUUUCAAGCGAAUGAGCUAACGUAAAAAAGCCUGUCGAAAAUACACCUCAUUACUUGAAACCCUAUAAAAUAUGUCGUUUACUUCUAUAAAUACUACAAUUUAUGUUCAGCCUCCAUAACUCCAGAAAGAAAAAAAAGAUUAGCUUAUAGCUUCUAACAUGUUUACAAAAUAAUAUUUGAAUAUUAAUCUUUGUGCUUCAUGUUAUUCACCAUCAUAUAAUUUUUCUUUCCUUGUCGUCUAGUGCUUAUCUAGAAAGAAGCAAGAUAAAAAAUUCCUACAUCUUUGUCUUCUUUGUCUAGCCUCACUUCACCUUUUAAAUCAGUUAUAUUCUUUAAGUUUAUUUGUUUCAUUUUCAAUUUUGGUACAUUUGGAAUAACUUUUUUCUGCUAAUUAUUACCUUAGCUAAUUAUUGAAGAUGAUCUUAUAAAAGACGUUAAGUUGGACUUUGGAAAUAAUGAAAAUAUCUUGUAAACUUAAAAUAUCCUGCGGCGCCAAUAAAUAAUCUUAUAAGUAUGUCGCUUGGAAAACAUUAACAACUCUCAUUGAAUAACACAAAUCAGUAUGGACCACAAAGAGAGUUUGAUGCUAGGUCCAAUUUGUUUUCAACCUUAAGUUAUUUAUUGGCUGAGGCAACUCAAUCCGUGAUCGUUUCUGAAUUUGAAGUAAAAAUAUUUUGUAUGUUGUUAAAAUCAAAACUUCACUUAAAAUUAUAACUUUACUUAAAUUAUAUAAAAAAACCUUAAAACUUAAUCGUUAAAUUUUACAAUACAUGAUAGCAUGUUGAACUUAUACACCACUAACGGACCACAAAAGGGACUGGAUGCUCGGCCCAGUUUGUUUUCAACGUAUUAAAAAUUUAACACUUAAAUUUAACCCCAAAAAAAGUAUUAAAAAAUAAAACUAUUUUUGCUUAAAAUGUGAUUUAAAAAACCUUGAUAUUUAGUUGUAAAUCAAAAUCAAUUGUUCUUAAUAAAAAAAAAAAUUAAAGUUAGAAAAGUUGAAAUAUACCUGUGAUCUUUAAGUAUCCUGAGGGCUGAGGCAACUCAAUCCGUGUUCGUUUCUGAAUUUUGCUACACAUAACACAAAAACAAACCCAUCAGCGAUUUCACAAUCGUCAAAAAUUCAAUUAUUUUGACAAAACUAAAGACAACUAUCACGAACAUGCUUAUAUACCUCUGUUCCUCUCUUCAAUAUAUAUAAAUCCUCAUAUAAAUAUUCUCCUAGUCUCCAAUGAAGGCUAGAUUCAAUAUCAUGCGACAUUGAUCUUGACUAUGAGAUUCAGUUCUGUAUGUUGCAGACAGGUAAUAAAAAUUCUAUAUGUGGUCGAGAAGCAACAUGAGCUCAGUAGUAAUAAAAUAAAACAAAUGCCAAUGAAUCUCCCAAAUCAGAUCAGUAUACCUCGGUUAUAAAUGUAGUAAUGCUGAUGCUACAUGAUCAUCAAAUCUUCAUGAUAAUAGAGAACAACAUCAAAGACCUGCAAAGACAAUAUAUAUAUAUACUAAUAACUAAAAUCAAAACCAAGAGAACAACAACAGAGAAUUAGAAACUAAUAGCUCACCAAGAACAAACAUACCUCCUCCUAUCAAAAGGUCUGAAACCUUUGUCUACAGAUCCAUGGAUUUGUAAUAUUUAAGCAAAAGAGGAAUUCUAAAGGAGACAGAGAGAACCACGAAUACUCAUUACAAAACCAAAGAGAGGAACACUAACCAAACACGUAAAUCAUAAGGCCAACAUUGGCUUCCAUCAAUCUUAUAUACAUAUACGCCUAUAAUAUUCAAUGAAGACACAGAAUCAAAUCAAAUUAAUCUUAAUUCCAAAAAGCAAAAAGAUGAUGAUUGCUACUUAAUAUAACUCCUAAAAUUAGAUAAAAGUUCAAUUCUAAGACACAAGACAUCAACAACAAGACCAUAUCCAGCACAGAGGAACAAGAAGAGAUAGAGCGGUACCUUGAAGGGAAAAGAGGAAGCAAGAGCAUCACCAUGAGGAAGAAGCAGAGAAGAAGCAAGAGCACCACCGUGAGGACGAAGCAGAGAGGUAGAUAGAUCUCAAGAGGAACUAAAAGAGAGAGAAACGACGAGGAACCAAAAGCCUCGACGACCACAAGGUCUCAAGCCACACCACCGUUUGAUCUCUCUGCUUCAUAUCUUUCUCAGCCUAGAUCAUCGAACCAUAUCUCAAAAGUCACAACAACAAAUCAACGAGAGAAAGCUAAAGGUACAAGCUUUUUCAGCAAAGAGGAAUCAGAGAAUCUAAAGGUACAAGCUUUUUCAGCAAAGAGGAAUCAGAGAAUCCAAAGAGAACAAACAAAGGAGAUUGAUUUAGUUUUGGUUUAGGGUUUAGAAGAUGAAGAAGUAGAAGUGGUGAGAAACAGAGAAUUUUGAUUUCUCUCGAGCAAGGAGAACGAAGAAGAAUCGUUAGAACUAAGAGAGAUUAGUUUAAUAAACAGAGCAGUGUACCUUGAAAGGGAAAGAGGAAGCAGCAACACCACCAUGAAGACGAAGCAGAGGUAGAUAGAGAUCCCAAGACGAACCAGAAGAAGAGGAAUCAAAAGCCUCGAUCAUCACCACCAUGUCUCAAACCUCAGCAUUCUAUGAUCGCCCUGUUUCUCGAUCAUCAAACCGAAUCUCACAACAACAAAUCAACCAGAGGAAAUCUAUAAAGGUAGAAGCUUUACACCGAUGAUGAAUCAGAGAAUCGAAGGCGAAGAGUGAUAUGCUUUGUUGUUCGACAAGAGAACGAACUAAGGAGAUUGAUUUGUAGGGUUUAGAAGAAGAAGAAGAAGAAGAAGAAGAAGAAGAAGAAGAACAAGAAGAAGAAGAAGAAGAAGAAGCGUUGAGUCGAGAGAAACAGAGAAUUUUGAUUUCUUGAUCAAACGGAAGAAUGGAGAAGAAGCAUUGAGUUGAGAGAAAGAGUAUAUUUUUAAUAUUUAAAAGCAAAAUUAAUUAAGAAGUUAAUUAAAAGAAAAGAAAAUUGAUAAUAUAUUAAUAUCACAAUCACAACGGUUAUAUUAAUAUGAGUUUAAGGAAAUCAAUACCAAGAUUUUGUUUCCGUUAAUUUUUUUCCAUCACAACGGUAACAAUUUAAUUUCAAAAUGUAAAACAUUUAGAACCUUGUUUAAUUUUAAAAGAGAAUUUAUCGAAAAAUAGAUAUAUUUAGUUUUCAAUUAAAUAUAAAAUACAAAUAUUAUUGUUACCAUUGAUCAAUUGAAACGUUAUGUAAAGCUAAAACUUAUUAUUAUAAGAGCCACACAAUUUAGUUAUUUUUUUUUUUGUCAACCCACACAAUUUAGUUAUUUUGCAUGGAAAUAAAAAGGGAAAAAAAUCGAAACUAAAACAAAAUAGACCACAUAGUUCCUAUCUUCUUCAUCUCUGAGUUUAUGAUAUUACAAAACUUUGAUUUAACAUAAAAAUUAUUUAGACAAAUCUUUUCUUUAAUUCCCAAACAGAAAAGUACAUUUCAAUCCUAGGAUUUCUGAGCUUCUGGUCCUAAAAUCCCAUUCACCACUGACGUGGCGACAAGAACUCCGACUAACUCAGCAGCCACGACUGCUCCGGCCUGUGUCAAUCCAUUAAAACUAACCGCCGUCACAAUUUCCUCCUCCGCCGUCUCUACACCUCUCUCCGCCGCUUCUAACCCUCUCUCCGCCGCAUCAACACCUUUCUCCGCCGUCUCGAAGCCUUCUUUAACGAUCUCCACCGCUUCUUCUUCUGCUUUCUUCAGCUUCUUUCUUAUACCGAAGAACGGAAUAUUCUCCGCCAUUGAUGCUGGCUGAAGUCCCGUCACCACCGUCGCUGCCGUCAAAGAAAACAACAGGUUCCUACGAGACGCGCCGGAUAGUGAAAACGAAGGAGGCGCUGGUUUGCUAAGAUGCGCGGCUCGUGGUGGGCUAACAUGCGCACGUGCCUUGAGAGCUCCGCCGCCGCCGCUGAGGAGAGAAAGCGAAAGAGUCGAAGCCAUUUUUUUCUAUGAUGAUCGAUAAGAAAAAUGCUAAGCCAAGCAAAAUUGAUCAAUGUGAUGUGAUACAGAAAAAUUAAAUAUAUAAGAUAAACCAUAUAAUUUUAUUGACCAAUUGACAUGCCACGUGGUCUUCUUUUGGAGAUGAAAAUUUUGUGUCACUCUUUUAAUAUUUCUACUAACUAUGAGAAAACAAAUAAGUUAAUAUAAAUUUAACUCAUUAAAUACAAUUUUGAUAUUUUAAAUAUUUUUUUCGGUUUAACAAUAUCAAGUAGAAUCGCUAGUGAUUCCGGAUGCAUCGAUUAUUCAUAUAGUUGCUAUAUACUGAUUACUGAAUGUUUUGAGAGAUGACUAAGAUAUAGAGAAUGUAGUGUAUGAAUAAAAAUUGAUUUUUUUUUUUAUACUGAAAUGCCAAAUCAUUCUGAAACUAAAUCUGAAUUAUUUUGAGCUAAAUCUUUUAAACUAAACAAAAAUCUUUAGUUAUAUAGAAAAACAAAUAAAAGUUCACUUUUAAAAAAAAAAUAUUGAUGGUAUUAGACAAAUAUUCUUUCCCACAUGACAUAAAUUGCAAAAAAUGGAUGGAAACAUACUUGUCUACAUGACAUAAAGAAAAUCGAGAUACCGAAGCGCAAAGAUGAUGCAGUGCAAGCCUUUUUUCUUGAUGGGCCUUAUCGAGUGAUUUCUUGCCCAUCAAGCUAUUUAGUUAUUUGUUUUCUUUCCUUCUUCUUAAUUUCUUAGGAUUUGCAUAAUUUUUGUUGCAUUUGGCUUCAUCUUCUACGAUCUAUCGAUUCUCUAUAAUUAGAGUUGCGAACAACAUGUAAGAUAUAUUGGAUUUGCAUUUAUAAAGAAAACCAAAAAGCGAAGUCUUAACUUUGUACUUCACCCUAUACCACAAGAGAAAAUUGGAAACAUACCUGUAUAUAAGAACAAAGUUCUAAACAAUACAAAAUCUGAAAUUGGAAAAAUUAGUUAAAGAAUGAACUACAUUAAGAGUAUAAGAAUUGUGUCAUGAGUUUAAACAAGACAAUAAGAAGUGUGUCAUGAGUUUUAACAAGACAAUAAGAAUUGUGUCAGAUAAAAACCUAUAUUAAACAAGACAAUAAGAAUUGUGUCAUGAGUUUUAAAAUCGAGAAUUUCCAGUAAAAUUAUUGAAGAGAAAUCUUUCUUUUUAUCAACUAAUAAUAAUAACGAGUUGAGAAAUUUUCUAACAAAAUUCAAAGGACAUAAACAAAAACUCUACCAAAAAAAAUCAUAAGUGAGAAGCACACAUGUUAACCACGUGAAUUACUUAGUGAUAUCUACUGUUUUUAUUGGUUUUUAAGCAUUGUUUAUAAGUUAGUUUCAUGCAUUUUUCAUCAUGUUUAGUGUGUUUAGGAUUGCAAUUUGCAUUAGUUGAGUCUUUGUAGGUACUUGGAGGUUCAUUAAGAAGUUUGGAGCUUUUAAGGUAAAAAAAAGAACUUAAUUGAAGCAUUUUUAGCAAUAAUGAUGAUGGAGGAACCAUGGAAUGAAGCAAGUGAAUCAAAGAAGCAAAAAUGGACCAAAGAAAAGGAGAAACAAGGAGGUGAAGUGUCUCGCCCGAUCCGGUUGGUCGAGCACUCGGUCGUGUCGUUCAAAGAUCGAUCCGAAUGAAGGUCUUUUCUUGAGAUUUAGCUUCAGAGUCCUUAAUCAAAGUUGUAGGAAAUUGAAUUAGCUUUCGAAUGGUGGUGGUUUCAAGUCAAUCCAAGCUGUCGUUAAAGAUUUAUCGCUAUUUUACUGGACGUAUAUACACCGUGUCCGACCAGACUGGUCGGGCAUGAGGUCGGCGGGCCUAAGGAAUUCUCAGAACAAACCUGAAACGAAAUUGAAGAAACUGGUGCUCGACCAAAGGCCCGACCGGGCAUGAAUAGUGCCAAAUUUUGACCUGGUUUAAUAGGGGUUGACCCGGUUUUCUUGUAAUCUUUCUAUAAAAACCUCAAAAACUUCAUUAUUGAGGAUCUAUGCUAUCUUUUGUGCUUGUUUUCAAUUUCUUUUCUAUCUUUGGAAUAUUUGUAUGAAUCUUAAGUAAAUUUAUGCAAUUUAAUCUUGUUCUCUUUUAGUUUUAUCUUCUACUUUUCUCUAAUUAUGUUUAUUCAAAGAUCAAUUUCAUUGCUUUGUGGUUACAUGAUCAUGAGUGAGUAGUCUUUAAGAGUUCUUGGGUUUUGGUAGAUUUGGAUGAUUUAGUAGUUGGGUUAUAGAGUUUAGGAUUAGAUUGUUUAAAAUCAUUGCUUAUUGGUUGCUAAUAAGGCUAAAUCAACCUUGAUUAUGUUGAUUUAGAGCUUAGGAAUUUCACGCCCGGAAGGUGUUCGAUGAAAUUCCUGAACCAAAACUUUUUUAAGUGUUUUUCAUUCCUAUCCUUUGGAAAUUGUUGAUUAGGGUGAUUAGUGGUUAGAUAGACUUGUUUAUAAUGCUUAUUGAUCAUUUGAUUACCUUUGAAAGAAGUUGAUAAUUUAUUGAUUAGUAAAGAGAUUAAUGUCAUGAAAAUGUGUUAGUAUUGCUUAGUGUUCUAUGUCCUAAGGACCAUUCUUUGUUAUAAGUUGUUUGAGACUCCAUAACACAUCUCUUUGUCAUUCUAGUCAAUUGCCUUAAUCCGAGAAUUCGUCUUUAUUUAUUGCUUAGUCAAUUGCUCUUUUCCCGCUUUGUUUCAAGUCGAAUAUUGUUAGUCUUUUGAUUAUUGUUUUCUUUCAUCUUGUUUUGCAUUUCUUGAUUUAAAUUACAUUGUUAGUUACAUUUAGAAAUCAUAGCUCAUCUCUUAUUAAGCAAAUUUGUGUACUCUUGUGUGUUAAUUAGUUGCUUCUUGAGGUUCGAUAAUUUAAUUGAUAGGGUAAAAUUGCUACAUCACUUAGCAACAAAUUAGGACAAGAAAUUAGGGAAUCUCAUUUACAAUGUCUAAUUUAUCAAGAGAAUUAAAGCAAUAGAUUAUUUGACUAAGUUACGUAUAACAAGUUAUUUUAUAAAUUGGAUGUUUAAAAAGGAAUAUUAAUGUUUUUAAGAACAAUUAUCUUGUGGUUAAAAUGAAAGGAAUAAAAUUUUCCCAAAUACACAAUAAUACAUUCUUGUGUGCAUUUAUAUCUCAAAUGCUUGCAUGCUGCACAAGGUGUUAAAGUCAUUCCCUCUCAAAAAACAACACUAUUAAAAAAUUCACAAAAAAAAAUGGAAUCAAAACAUAGAAAACAAGCUAAGACAAAUGAGACAUGUCUAUCUUGAAGCACAAGAAAUACAACCAUAUAUGCUUUAGCUUAAAUGACAAGGAACCAAAAACAAACUAAGAACAUUUAGAUCAUCCUUUGAAUUAAAAAGAUCACAUCAACUCUCUCAACAAAAACAAACAUAAUAAUUAGAAACAUUUAGUUAUCAACUAAUAAUAAUAACGAGUUGAGAAAGUUUCUAACAAAAUUCAAAGUACAUAAACAAAAACUGUACAAAAACAAAAUCACAAGUGAGAAGCACACAUGUUGACCACGUCAAAUACUUAGCAACAAAUUAGGACAAGAAAUUAGGGAAUCCCAUUUACCGUGUCUAAUUUAUCAAGAGAAUUAAAGCAAUAGAUUAUUGACUAAGAUAACAUAUGUAUAACAAGUUAUUUUAUAAAUUGGAUGUUUAAAAAGGAAUAUUAAUGGUUUUAAGAACAAUUAUCUUGUGAUUAAUAUGAAAGGAAUAAAAUAUUCUCAAAUACACAAUAAUAUGAUCUAUUACAUUCUUUCCUAAUACUAUAUUACAUUCCUUCUUAAUACUGAACAUUUUACCGCAAAAUAGCUGUUUACAACUGUUACGGGUUCAUUGAUUUAUAACUCCUAUGAGAUUUGUAUACUCUAAUUGAUUUUGGAACCAAUUUUUAACUAUUAUGGUUUAUUCACAUAUUUGAAUCCUUCUUCUUCACUUUCAAAUUCAUUUAAGAUUUAAUGUAGAUUUCUAAAUCCAACAUUAAACCAGUAAACCAGUAGCAAAUGAUUUUAGUAUUUAGAAAUUAAUUGGUUUCCAAAAAUAAAAAAUAAUUAAUUAACAAACGUGAUUUUGAAAUCAAUAAUCCUAGUAAUGGUCAUCUUGCUCCUAUGAUGGGUCGCGUCCUUUCAUAUAGUUUCGUCAAAUCUUUCAUGUCUUAAUAUAUAUUUGUGAUCGUUUCAUAUUUUUCUUUUGUUUUUAUUUGUUUGUGAAGUCUUAAGAAUAAGAUCGAACAAAGUGGGAGUACUCAAACAACAUUUUUUUACUUCACUUUUAGAUCGUUACAUAUUCGCUAGCCUUCCUCCCACUUAUUUUCAAGUUAUUGAGUUAACAAUCAAUACACACAUAAGUAAGGAUUUUUGUUAUUAUCUCAUGAGCAUGUGACAAUGAUCGGCGUUAAAUAUUCAUUUUGAAAGGUUUGGGAAAUGGACAGCCCCGGCUCAACAUUUUUCUAGUCCCUUGGGCAAAAUUUUUUUUUUUUUUGCUAUUUUUUAAAUAAAAUUUUGUUUUGAGAUUUUUUAAAAUUUAAAGUUAAAUUUUGGACCUUUUUAAGAAAAAUUACACUAUUAUAAAACUUUUUUAAAUUAUAUGGGCUUUUAUAAAAUAAAAUUAAUAGUUUUUAAAAAAAUCUAAGCCCUUUUACUAAAACUUUUGGACCCUUUUCUUAUGUAAAUUUUUUAAAAAAUGUCAUAGUCCCCUGGGCUGUGAUUCCUUUGCCCACCCCAUUUGGGCCCAUCCAUUUCAAAUGUAUCGGUAUCCUCACAGUUUAUUUUAGCCUUUUCCGGUACGCAAUUUUAGAACAGUACCAUCAAUAUGAUAUUAAUCUUCAACAUUUAUGAAUGGUAAUGUUAGAAAAUAGUUUGGGAAAUGAAUUGUCAAUUUAGUAAGAAUUUCUAGAGGUGCACAUACAUACUAAACGUGCUAAUAAAUAAUGAGAUAACAUAAAUUACGACUCUUAUGCAUUGACGAAAGUUUUACGUGGUGACAAUGUCUAAUGUAGUUGCUUACAAAGCCAAGGAAGGUAGAUGGAGCCUCGUUGGACCAAAAAUGAUUAUGAAACAUUUAUUGGGUUUGGUAGGACUCCCAAGUUCCAUCUGGUGUUUGUUUUAAAUUGGCUGAUUCUGGUGGAAACAAUGAGAUUUUACGAGUUGAGAUGUUUGGUUAUGGUUUAGGCUAAAAACAAAAAUCUGUGAGCCGAUUAUCGACCAAGGAUGAAUAUCCGUUAGAAAUUUGGUCGUAAAGCAAGAUUUCGUCAAGAAAUUACCGACUAAUUACCAAUUAAGUUUUAUAUUCGUCGAUUAACGGUUGGAAAUUGGUCCAAAUAUAUGCCAACCUAUAAAUUCGUUCUUAUUUUGAGGUUAGAUAGUUUAAGAUCACUUCUGUUGUACCCGCAUAUAAAAAGCGCUUUGAAGUGAAUAAUAAUCAUCUUAGAGCAUAUAUAUUAGCGUGUGUACACACUGUCCUACACAAAAAAACAUUUAAAUUUAAAUCAAAAAUAGAAAAAAAAAUAAGAAACGUACUUACAAAGUCACAAUUGCGACGUCCUCUACUCUCUUUCUCAACUGUUUAUGGGCCCCACUGACACGUGCCGGUCUGCGAUUGGUCACCUUUUGUUUUUUUUUUUUUCUUUUUUAAAGACUAAAAGUAAGAAAAAAAAAGUUUAAUGGGACAAAAAAAAAAAAUGAACCGAUGCACAUGGUCUUAGAGCUUUGCAUGCAAAUAAAGUUCUUAGCAUAUUGUAUUGUAGUCAUGGAAUUUUCUUCUCCACACUUUUUCAACUAUGGAUGUCUUAUUAAUUAAUAAGAUAUAUAGGAUUAAUAAUAUUAGCAAGUCCGUGACAAAACUAAUAAUAAGAUAAGUAAACACAACGGCGAAGACUUCAGUUUGGAGUCUUCUUGUUCUGUCUCUCCUUUUUUACAACUUGAGUUGUGCUUUGCUUCUGUUUUUGGUAUCAAAAAUGGAAAAGAUUGAGUUUCUGGGUGAGAUUCAAGUCACCACAGAGAGGCUAAUCCACAGCAACGGAGUUCUAGCUAUAUUCACCUUAUCCCUAAGAUGGAUCGCGUCUUUGGCUGCUGUGUAAGAAACUAAGAUGGUUUGUUUUAUGUCUUAAACUGUUUGAUUUAUGUAUAACUUACACUUUUUUUUUUUUUAAUAUGCUUCAUAUGUUUUAUUUGUGGGUUAAAGUUUGCUGAUGAUUUUGGAUGGAACGAAAUGGAAGUACUCAAACAACAUGUUGACUUCACUAUUAGCUCCUUACCUCUUUGCUAGCCUUCCUCUCGUUAUCUUCCAUUUCUUAAGGUAAAGUUUUUGUUCUUGGUUCUUGUACUUGUUUUUGACUCUUGAACAUGUAUAACAGUUGGAUUAAAGUAUUCUAUAUGUAUUGCAGGGCUACAGAAUUUGGGAAGUUGAUGGCACUCCUCGCAGUUGUUUUCAGGCUUUUCUUACCAAAUCAUUUUCCUGGUACGCAAUUUUCAUAACUGUACCAUUGGAAACAAUAUUGAUUAUGAUAUUAAUAAUCUUUGAAGUUUAUAUAAAGAUGCUAGAGAGCAAUUUGGGAUUUCUAACAUUAGUAUUGAGCCUCUAAAAUUUUUGACAUUUUGAGUAAGAGAAAUAGGCCCAAAAAAUAUUUUGUUUUCACAAUAUUAGGUCCCAAAUUUUAUUUUAUUUUUUGUAAAAUUAUGCCCCAUUUUUAUUAAAUUUUAAAUUUUGGUUUCCGUGUUUUAAAUUUUAUCUAUUAGCAGAAAAUAUGUCCCAUUUUUAAAAAUUUUAAAUUUUAUCAAUAAAACCUAUUUAAAAAAAUUAUUUUGUUUUGGGCCCCAAACUUCACAUGGCCGUCACUGAAGAUAUAGUAGAGAAUCCCGUAAAAUUCCUUAUAUAAGAGCUCAGAAUUAAAUGCUUUAACUAGGGUUAACAUACUCAAUAUCCAUUCAAAUCCAUCAAUCCCAUUUAAGUAUACAAUUUCGGUGAUAACAUGCAAUUUUGUGGUUUUGAAUUUUGGAAUCUCAUACAAGUUUAAAAACCUUGCAGAAUCGCUAGAGAUACCAAGUGCAACGGUUCUUCUUAUUGUGGCUACACCAAUAGAGUUGGUGGCUGCAUUCAGAGACGGCCUAAGAUAUACGGGAGCUAAUUUAUGCCUUAUCGGUAGCAUUUUUCUUCUUAGUAAACACAUUAAAGCUUGUGAUGGAUACAAAAACGCAUUCACUCACAAGGACAAAAUCACUUACACCAUUUGUAUUUUUAUUCUCGUUUUCUACCUUCUGUUCACCUCAUUUGCUUCCUUAUUCUACUAAGGAACCCAACGGUCUUGCUCAUACUGACAGACUGUGAUUGUUAGUCUUUUAAGUAUAUCAAGAUUUUGAAUCUUUUUCUUUUAAAGGUUUUCAAAGAUUUGUAAAUAUAUUUAGAUUUUGAAUCUUAUUCUUGUAAGGGUUUUUAAAGAUUAUUGGUUAAUGUUUUCACCACAAAAGAAAAAAGUAUUGUAUAAUGUUUAGGUUUUGACCUACGUUACAAAUUACAAUCGUUUCCACACUAAAUCAUAACCAACUCCAAAUUUAUCAACAAUAAACUGAUUCUUUAACUUUCAACUUUCAAGUGCAAGCUCAAGUUUAUCAACAUGUACAAAAAAAUGACAAUAGUAAAAACCAACAAAAAACGUAAUAACAAUGAGCGCAGGAGGAGGUUUAUAAUGUUUUCUAUAUAUUUUUAUUUAUAUUAUGAUAUUUCAUUGUUUUUUUUUUUGCUUUUUGUUAGUUUUUAACUAUUGUCAUUACUUGUUAUUCUAUUUUUCAUAUGGAUUAAUCUUUCAAAAACUUUAUAUUAGUUUUUUUUAACUCUUGAUUUAUUAUUUAUUGCAAAUUAUGAGAAUUGUUACAAUGACGAUUCUACUACCGACAAUUCUGUCCGACCCUUAUAGAUUCACCACAGAUUACACCCUUUCCUGACGACAUCUCUUUCUCCAUGCGUAAAAUCACGGCGAACGGCUCUAAUUGUGCAUUGUUAUAGAUCUCCUGUAAGCUUAUCUCCUUGAUCUGCAAAUUAAAUAAAUCGCAUUACCUGGGCGUCGAACCCCAGUCCUCUUGGUGUAGAAGCUUUAAACGACCCUUCGUCAACCACUAGACUAAGGGAGC